rnacentral:lncRNA from 1 species
GCAAGAGCCUUGAUUCUUGACUGGUGUGACGGCACCGUAAUCCCUCCAAUCAAUGCUUUGAGGUAUCGCGGACAUGUUUACAUCCUCAAACGACACCGAUGGCUCUAAAUUUGUCAUAUUUAGAGGAAGAGAUAGACCGACAUGCUGAGCCACAAUUUCAUUAUUUGUCAUGUCAGCGAAUUGGUUAAUGCCCAGAGUAUACGAGUUUCCGCCACGCCUGUUAAAGGCUUCGAUGCGGUUUACAUUGUCUUUAAAGAUCUCAAAACGGCGCAUCUUCUCAGCAUCGUCACUGUAAACUCGGCCGAAAUCAGCCAUCCAUUCUUCAAACCUCUUCAUCAUCGAAUCAUCUGCUUCGCCGCGAGAAGCCAACGACGAAGCCCACAUCACAGAAAGAAACAAAAAAAGAAACAAUAUUUGGAAUUUGGAAGCCAUAGCUCUGACUUACAAAUGCUUUUGUUGCUGAGAGUUAGGCUCUCCGCAUCGAGUUUAUAUAGAAGUUCUCGGCCCAUGCACUAAAGUUGCUGGACCAUUAAAUNUCGAAUCAUCUGCUUCGCCGCGAGAAGCCAACGACGAAGCCCACAUCACAGAAAGAAACAAAAAAAGAAACAAUAUUUGGAAUUUGGAAGCCAUAACUCUGACUUACAAAUGCUUUCGUUGCUGAGAGUAAGGCUCUCCGCAUCGAGUUUAUAUAGAAGUUCUCGGCCUAUGUACUAAAGUUGCUGGACCAUUAAAUUUUAAUUUUUUAAAAACUUUUUUUAGAGGAAAAGAUACAACGUGCAUGUGAUGAAAUCAUUAAUUAAUUUCUCUCUUAUCCAUUGUUCGAUAGGAAAGUCGCAAUCAAGAGAGGUACAACUUUUCACUCCGUACGCGAGAGUUAUAGUGGCUGAGCUUGCCCCUCCAUGUGUGUUGACGUACGUCGUUGCAUGAUUGAUAAUACAGCAUGCGUUGCACAACAGGAAUUAAAAAUACAGCAUGUGCAUGCGCAACAGGAAUUAAAAAAUACAGCAUGUGUCGCACUAUAGGAAUAAGAAUAAGAGCCGCACAUAAUUUUAAAAUGAUAUAUGUACAUUAACAAAUAUUAUUAUUGUUUACAAUAGCUCUUUUUCUUUUUUUUUUCUUUUUUUUUUGAGAGGAAUCUCAUCAAAAAUAGAGAAUUGUCUAGAUAUCUAUCGUUUCCUGAUGUGUCGAUAUGUUGAAGGUGUUUUGGAUUAUAGUGGCGUUGGACCACAACAUACAUGUGAGUAGUUUAGAUAUCAUGUUAUUUUCUGUAGAUAUUUAAGAUUUCGAUAAAUUGAACUACAUGUCUCUAUUUUUUAAAAAAUUUGAUAUAUAUUUAAGACAUGACUCUUUCAAUUAUAUCAUGCUAGUUCUUAUUCUGAAUAAAAAAAAGGGCUAAAUUUUUUCUGAGUAGAUUUUUCUUUUUUCUUUUUCUUUUCUCUCUCUCUCUCUCUCUCUUUUGAGACCUAGUAGUCUUAUAUUUUGUAGCUAAGUUUAUUUUCGAAAUGAAUGAAGCAGAUAGCUUGCUAUCUUUUUCUCAAAAAAAAAAAAAAAAAAAGCUUAAAUUGAAUCAGUCAAACCUAUCCCCUGCUGUGUAUCAGUUACAACCUCAAUUUUAAAUAUGUUGAAAGGCAAAUUGCACUAAUAAUCUCAACAAACUUCUAUUUUUAGUCCUCAAUUUUAAGUUUUCAAUAUUUGGGACUCGUGACUAUCCAUUCUAGUGCUUAGUUAAAAAAAGUAAAAAAUACAAAAAAUUACGAGCAAAUUAAGCUAAAUUGUAGAAAAGCUCCUUACAUAUGUUGGAUUUUACACUUUUUCUUCAAUAUUUAAACUAUCAGCCAAAUCAUUAUAUACUUUACAACCACUCGCACCAAUAUAAAUUAAGAAGCGAAAAAAGUUCUAAUAUCGUGUUAAAGAACUGAAUCUAAUCAAAACAAAGUCACGGUAAAGAUAACUCUCACAUUAGAUGUACUAUUUAAUAUUAUCUAAUAAUAUAACCAAACAAGUACUCUAUAGAUGAGCGUACAUGCUAUCAGAAGCAGUCGAUGAGCUUCCCGUGCCUUCCAAGUCGUUUUGACUGUUGCGACUUGCGAAUCGUCGAUCGACUCCGUUAAACUUGAUCUAGAGUAUUUGAAGUACCUAGAAAAUAAAUUUUAUGAUUUUACGAUAUCAUUUGCCUAGUGAACGAAGGAGCUCAAAAUCAACGGCUGAAAAUAAAAAUCUUACAAAAUAUAAUAAUAUGACAUUAAAAUUUUAAAUCAAAGAUAUUUAUCUUGUUUUAUAUAGUAUAAAGAAUUUUCUAUCAAAAUUUCACGUGAUUUGGAUAUUUCUACACCGUUAAACUUGCAAACGGCUCACUACGGCCAUUGAAAUUUGUUGAUUUUGAGCCCAUUCGAUCACUAGGCAAAUAAUAUCGAAAAAUAAUAAAAUUUAUUUUCUAGGUACUCCAAAUACUCUAGAUCAAGUUUAACGGAGCCGAUCGACGAUUCGAAAGUCGCAAUAUCGAAAACGAGUUGGAAGCACGGAAGGCUCCGUGCUUCCGAUAUCAUAGUAGCCUCACUCCUCUAAUAAUAUAAUUUUGUAUUUUGUAUUUCAAUUAUAUAUACUUUCCAUAUUGACCCUCACAUUACCCCAUAAAUAUUCAAAACAAAUAAAUCUACAAAAAUAUUUUUUUUUGAGAUAUUUUUGUAUCAUAAUGUUGCAUGUGCAUGUGCAUGUGCAUGACUUUUCAAAUUGCCUGGGACAAAAAUAUUAUAUGUUUGGGGACUUUGCGGAUCGGCGCCACGUGGUCGAUUCAAUGGUCACGGAUCUCAGUUGCUUUUUCUCUCUCUCUAAAAACACAGAAUUUUUUUUUUGUCUUUCCAUCCGUGGCCAUCGGAUCGGCCACGUGGCACCAAUUUGCAUAGUCCCAAACACAUGCCCAUAAAAUUUUUGUACAAUUGUCUGGGGGCCAUCCCAAUAAUUUUGCAGCCAACGCAUUCAAUGCGGUGACAACUUAAAUUUAAUUAUUGGAGCAAGAAAAUGUGAAACCCUUAAACUUUAAGCGACUUUGAAAUAGCUCCUCAAUAUGGUUUUUCCCUCAUUGCCAUGUUUUAUAUUAGUUUAGGGUGUGUUUAGUUCUACCUAAAAUUGUUCCAAUUUUUUUUUUUCGGUUGAAAAGUAAAAUCUCAAAACAGAACCAGAAACCAUAAUGUCGAAGCAAACAACAGAACCAGAAACCAUAAUGUCGAAGCAAGCUUAGCAAUUGGAUGCAGCAAACAUCCAUAUUUAUGCAAGUUAAGCAAACAAGAUAGCAAACUGCAGUGUUGCUAAAUCAUUUGCUUCCCACUUAUUAAGAUGAGCACAAUGUCGAAAAAAUAUUAUUAUUAUACUUUCAAAAAUACAAUUAAUUUAUUAUUGAUAAUGUGGUAUAAAUAUGAUACGGUAAAUUUUCUCAUCGUCAUUUGUUUGGACCGAUACGAUGUAAUCGGGAGGGGUACAACUUUCACUCUUACGCAAGAGUUAUUGCUGUUGAUGUGUUGUUUAUUGGGACAAAAGUUUUAUAGGCAUAGUGCUCAAACUAAUUAAUUUGGAGAUUAUGCGGACUGAUGCCACGUGGCCGAUCCGACGGCUACGGAUGGAAAAAAAAAAAAAAAAAAAUUCGUGAUUUUAGAGAGAGAAAAAAAAGCACGGAGAAUCCGUGCCCGUCAGACUGCCACAGGGCGGCCGUAUCCGCAUAGUGCCCAACCAAACUAAUUAAUUGAGCACUACAGCCCAUAAAAUUUUUGUCCGUUUAUGGAAUUAUUUUUUCAGGAGAAGAAUGACGCUAAUCUGCUACCAUAAUAAAGAGGGUGAAUUAAUAGCUACAAGGAUGAGGACAGCAACGUGUCACAGAAAGAGAGACAGAAAAAAAAACAACGAAAAAAAACAUAGGAAGGUAGUUUCGAUUACAAGACCCAAAGAAUGUUCCAAGAGUUUUAUUGGAAUGAUACGCGAAUCAUGUUUGCACAACGGGAGGAGGAGCAAAUAAGAGAGCAAGCAUAAAAAUUACAACGCGAUUCACGCUCUCUUAAAAUAUUAUAAAUAUUUACAAAAUACCUUUUAAGCGAAAAUAGUCCCAUCAAAACAUAUGUUGAGAGUUACAAAUAAGGACGUGUUUUGGUUCGCUUUUUUUUCGCGCCUGGAAUCAAACUUCGAAAUCGGAAUGGGUAAAUCACAUUUGUGGGUGUUGGUACGGCGGAGUGCCAUCCAAUUCCCGAUGCCCGAGUGGACAUGGAAUCCCCCAAUCACUCUCUUUUCAUUCCGCGGCUUAGGAGGCCGAAUUGAAAUUGAAUCCGACGGAAUGAUAUUUAAUUCGGAUUAAAUUUAUUUUUAAUUGUUUUUAAUUAAACAUAGAGUUAAAAUCAAAAUUAAAAAUAUAGUAAUUUUUAAAUUUAAUUUAAAACCUAAAUUAAAAUUAAAAUGUAAAUCAAAGUAUUUCGAAUACUAAACUUAAUGAAUUGAAUUUAAAAAUUAAAUUUUAAAAUUUAUAUAAAGUUUUAUUCAAAUUUAUUGCAACCCUAAAUUAAAUUUAUGAUUCAAAUUAAAAAUUUAAAUUUGUAAAUUUUAAGUUGAAUUUGAAUAAAUCUAAAUUUAUUUCAUAUUUUUAAUUCAUCACACUCACUUAAAGUUUAUUUUUUUAAAAAAAAUAGAUUUUAAAUUUGACAUUAUUCAAAUUUUGAUAUAAAUUUUAAUAUUUAAUUUUAAUUUGAAUUUAAAUUAUAUAUGAAAAGAUAAUGUUAGUAUAGUUAAUUGAUUACUUUUUAUAUCCACCUGAACCAAACACUGAAUAAGGAAUGAUUUAUGCGAUUCCGAUUCAAGGUAUUAAACCAAAUCAGGGAAUAGUAAGAGCAAUUAACAAUUCCGAUUCCAGCUUUUGGAUUCCGAUUACGCGAUUGCCGACUCCGAUUUUCGAACGACAAACACUGCCCUAUUACCAUUGACUUUUACCAUUGACUAUUAUAUAUCUAUUAAUAGUCGGCUUAAAUUUUUAUAGUGAUAUCAAUAAAAAGGGGGGCGACGAUAUUGCCCAGGCCAUUCAUUGAAGAGGACAUGACCCUACAUAUUUUUGAAAUGCCCUCUAAAUAUUUUAUGCAAUACAUUUAUAUCAUCAUGCAUCACAAUGAAUAAUUAAAAAUAAAAAUAAAAAUAAAAAUUAGAAUUAAAACUAAAAUUAAACUUUUAAUGUAAAUAAAAGUGCAAUCAAAUUUAAAUCUAAAUUUAAAUUGAAAUAAAUAAAACUAAUUCAACAUCUAAUUUGACAAGUAACAUUAGUGAAUUCUUAAUUGGAUUCAAUUGAAUUUUCAAAUUCGAAUUACAUUUGAGUGCAGCUAAGAUCAAAGUUUAAAUGAAAAUUGACCAAAUAAUGUAAGCUGAAAUGCAGCUAUUGCGUUACAAGUGCCUGGUAAUGCUUGAUAAGGAUAGUAAAGCGCGCUUCGACAGGUCACCCGUUGUUAGAUAUUAUGAAACGUAGCCUUGUCCACCCAACCGCCUGCACCCAUAGUCCGUAGUUUAAUAAUACAACAGCACAAUCGAGAACUUCUUUCUCCGAAAGAGAUACUAAUCCCUGCUUUGACUUGUAGAUCUCUUUCACUGUCGCAUAUUGCACUGAAGCCUGCAAAACCUAUGCAGAACAAAGUUUUACGUAGCAUAACUAACUAGAGACAAAGUUAUAUAAUGAUAUACGCAUGAACUAAGGAAACAUUCAAACUAACAUAAUUAACGUUAUUUGCAAGUACAGAGCGCUUUUAACUUGUUUAAGAUUUUGAGUGUUAUAAAAUUGUCACCUAAAAGAUAUUGGCGGUUUGAACUCUCAUACACGACAUGUUUCAAAAUUUAGAAAAUUAACUAGUAGAGGAAAAAGUACAGACUAGAGGAUCACAUUUCGGAAAUUCUGAAGAUGAUUUUUCGGCCAAUCCAGAUUCGCAGCACACAUUAGAACAAAAUAAUGAUUUGAACACUCUAACAAGAUAUAGCAGUGUUGCGCACUUUAAUAUGCACAAACAUAACUAUACGAAGUAUGUUGUAUACAUUAAAUUUACUAUGUCCAAAUAAUAGGUUAAAGAUGGAAUACGAAUGAGAUUGAUUUCUUUUUUUUCCGCUACAACUCAGUUAGGUUUUGUUCUUUUACAGUGGCGUCCGACCGCAAACAUACAUCAUACCGAUUAUAUACUCAGAUCCAAUUUUAUUCGAACCAGAUAAUAUAGAAUUUGUAAUGCACUAUAGUCCUAAAACCUUAAUUAGUUAGGCUAAAUAAGAAAAAUCCUCUUGUUAACCAUCUGUUUUCACUUCCUCCAUGCUGCAUUUAAAAAUCUAUAACCUUGCGCCCCCCUAAAAAUAAAAAAUAUUCAUAUUCGGUUCCUGCCGUCAGUUUCUAGUUGAGGUUCCAUUUCAUAUCUUAUUUUUGUAAUUCAAAAUAUUUCUGAAUUCUCAUCUACUAUCCACACACCAUGACCGCCUCGCUCUGCCCACUCCCCUUCAUAGCGUAGAUGCAUCCACGCCUGCUCUCUGCCGCCUGGAAUGACAAGAUUGGGGAACAGAAAUAAAGAAAAGUAGGAACAUUUGUUCAUCUUUAUCACACCAAUAUCAUUCUAUAAAUACGUUUUUAUUUUUCGAUAAAAAAAGCAAAGUAUCAUGAUUUUUUUUUAAAAAAAACAAGAAAAACGGCUUUGCUAAAGGUUUCAUAUAAUAGCCAUUUAAUUAAUGCGAGCAACAUUCGCAAACUGAAAAAUGCUAGAAUGCACGGUUAUAAUUAGUGACCGUACGCGGCAUAACAAACCAAUUACAUUAAUCCUUUUAAAAAUAUAUGUCCGCAUCAUGAAUGUAAAGAGUAUUUAUUGUACUUUAUUUUGAAAAGAUGAUAUGAUUGGCUUUUAUGAGACGUGGUGCAAAUGUGACAGUGAGAUUCCUCUUCCAAACAUAAGGCACGCCCUCAGCUCAAACAUUCCAAACUAGGUCCAAACGUUCUUCUUUUUUUAAAAAAAAGUUGAGUUUUGUUUUUAUUUUUUUGAUAAUUAGAUUAAAAUAUUAUAAGAUUUUUAUCAGAUUUUCCUGUGAUCCAUCAAAUUUAAACAGUUGACCAUUCUGCAUUGAACUUAAUAAUUACUAAAAUUCAAGAUAUAUUUAUCAAAUAUAUCAAAUAAAAAUUCAUAUAUUUACAUAGGCGAAGGUACGUAGGACGUAAUGCAUCCCAAAUGGAUUAACCAAGUUCAUCGCAUCGAAACCAAAACGCAUACUUAACAAAAAACGCGUCUUUUAUUUAGUAACUGCCAAAGAUGAAGAACCAUUUCGGUCAGAGAACACCUAAUAUUUUUAAGUAAGAUUCAAAAAACCUCCAUGUGAAUUCGUAGUUUCUCACUGUUGCCUCCCUGUGUUUAAAAUGUAUCAAUUGCUCCCCCGUGUUCUUUUUCUCUUUUUUAUCAUUGCAUUUAUUUUUUAUCUUAAUCAGUCUAAAGUUAAAAUAAAAGUAUAAAAUAAAUAUUUGAUAACUCUAGAUGGAUAUCUGAAGUUUUGUAUAUAAUUUGAUGAAAUAUUAAGAAAAACUACCAAAAAAUAAAAAUGAAACCACAGGGGGCAAUAUUGAUACAUUUUACACCACAGGGAGGUAAGUGAAAAACUACGAAACCAUAGAAGGGAGUUUUUGAAGUUUUUCUUUUAAAAAAAAAAAAUUAUUUAAAUAGACUAAUUUUUUUAAAAAAAUAUUAUUUAUUUAUGUAAUUCAAUGACUAUAAUUGUAAUAGAAUAAAUUUUCUCAUUUAUUGAAUAUUUUUUUAAAAAAAAUUUUUUUUUAUUGUAAAUUUUUGAUCCGUCUGCUGAUCUCCAUCUAUUAUGGUCAGAAUUGAGAGAAAGCUAGAUACACAAGCCAUUGCAUAAGUUACAGAUAUGGUGUGGCUCAGUCGAGUAGGUUAACGGCAAACCCUUAUUUCCACCCAUAGUUGGCCGCACAUACACAAGUUGCAUUGCAUAAAGAGACCAUGUGAUCCAUUUAUAGUACUAACCAAGGCACACUAGUCCACAUAAAUGAAGGACACAUCAUUAUAGAUUUCAAACUUAACAUACUGAUAGAGACACACCGGAAACAAAACAGAAACCCACAAUGUCGAAACAAGCUAGCACUUGAUGCACGCAAAAUCCUUAUUUAUGUAAGAAACGCAAAUAAGUAGGCAAACUAGCAGGUCGAAAAAAUCAUUUGCUGUUCCGACUUAUUACGUAGCUUCAAUUUCAGAAACCCAUCUUAAUAACUUCGGCAUUAGCCCUGAUUGGAAGUAGGAAUAGAGGAGACAUGCGAUUCCACAUACUCCAGAAGACGAUACACAACUCUGCCCAUAACGACGUAUCCACUUCUCCCCCCAUGACUGCCCCCACGAGUCCUUACUAUCUAAUAUUUUUAGUUCCACGGCUAUCAUGCCCGUACCUAUAAUGGUAAUGGCAUGAUUAGAGACUAGUUCACACAGGUCCGGCGCUAAACACAACCCCAUUGUAAAUUGAAAGUUUCACUGGCAUCGAUAAGAGCACUAUGUUGAUUCGACACAGCGCGUACAUAUGCUGCGUCAAUCGUUCCUUCGCACAUAUGAAUAACCAGUAAUGUAAGCUGAAUUAGAACAGCUAUUGGCGUUUGGCAAGUGCCAUUGAGCUAUGCUUGAUAAGGAUAGUUUUUCGUGGUCACACCGUUGUUUAUGAUAUGAUGAAAUCGAGGCCUUGUUCACGAAACCUAGCCGCCUUUGCAACCGCUACUACAGCACAUCGAGGAACUUCUUGCUUCCGAUAAAGAUACUAAGUUACCCCUGUUUUAUCUGUAGAUUCCCUCACCGUCGCAAUUGCACGAAUGACCAGCAAGAACCUAUGCCAAACAAAAGAUACGCGUUAGCAUAACGACGAAGCAAAGUUAUAUCUGAGAUGCAAUGAUAUAACGAAUAUCCUCACAACUCAACAAUAAUAUAAAUGUUUUUGGCAAUACAGACUGCUUUUAACUUUAUUUCAAACGGUUUGUCAAGGCAUAUGGAGUCCUGUUCUUUUUGACUACAACGACUUUGGCUUACUUUAUAUAACUGAUUAUGGCAUAACUCAAUUAAUAGUAAGAGAACUCAGCAAAUAGAGCUAAUUGCAAAUAGAUUGAAUCAAGUCGAAGCCUGUGAACAUUGUCCUUGAAUCCUUAAAUGCGAUGGAUGUGUCCUUUUUAUCACCAUGUAUGUAUUUUUGGAUAGUUAAUUAACACUUAUAUAUACAUUUGAUGGCUAAGUUGAUUUUUUAUUAACUAGAUUCAAUACUUCAUUUCUUUGUACAUUGAUAAUGUGUGAUUAUACAUGUUUAGACACUUUUAAUCAGCCAAAGUAAUGGAAUUAUUGAGUUUUAGUGGGCGGAAAUUUGGUCCUUUUGUCCAGAAAAGGCAGAAGGCAUUCGGUAGCAAGCAUAUUUGAUCUAAGCAACAUGUUAGCAGCAUCUUAUAAAGUUAACUAAGAAUAAUUUUUUUUUCUUUUUUCUAGUUGAAGAAAUGAAGUUGCAUUGACAAUUUAUAGUCUAAAUUAUUUCUUACCACAGGGGUUUUGAUUCUUGACCUCGUUUACGGCACCAUAGUCUCUCCAAUCAAUACUUUGAGGCACCGCGGAGAUGUUUACGUCAUCAAAUGACACCACUGGCUCUCUCUCGAUAUUUAGUGGGAGAGAUACGCCGGUAUAUUGAGCAACAAAUUCGCUUUUUGUCAUAUCGGUAAACUGAUUGAUACCGAGAGUGUACGAAUUUCCGUUGCGACUGUUAAAGGUUUCGAUAUGCUUCACGUUGUUCUUGAAUAUCUGAAACCGGCGCAUCUUCUCGUCGUUGUCCUUGUAAACUCGGCCAUACUCCGCCAUCCAUUCUUCAAACCGCUUCAUCAUGGGAUCACUGGGUUCGUCACGAGAAGCUGCCGAUGGCGAAGCCCACAUCACACAGAGAAACAUGAAAAGAAACACGAGUUGAACUUUGGAAGCCAUGCUUAUGUAGCACUAAAUAUGUAUGAGGAAAUUGGAGAUGGAGCUACAAGAGCUUUUGGUGCUGAGAGUAUGGUGUCAAGAUCGAGUUUAUAUAGAAGUUCAUGCCUUGGAAUGUAGGUGCGAGAAUUAUUGUGUGGGGGCCUACAAGAUGUCACAAAUCGCCAUCAAAUUAAGAUUAAAUAGUUCUGGACCGCUUGCGGCACCACGUCAUGUGGUCACUAGUGUAGUGAUUUGCUUAUUACGUCGGGCAAAUACUAUUGACAUAAAAAUUGGUACAAAAUAAAAUAUCAGUUUAGUAUGAAAAAAUAGUAAAUAUAGUUUAUAUUAUAAACAAACACUUCUAAACAAAAUAAAACUAAAAUGAAAAAAAAUUAAUCAUUCCAAUAAAAUUAUUCAAGCUUGUUAAAAAAAAUCGCAUAUCAUACAAAUGGAUGAUUAAAAUUAUUUUUAACUUGGGAUGUCUCCACCAGAUGGAUGCGAGGCAGAGACUCAUUGUCAGGAGCAGCAAGAGCACUUUUCGACUUAUGCUUUGUUGGAGCUUGUUGGGAACUUUGGAAGGAACGGAAUUCACGGAUCUUUUAGCAACCAACACUCGACGUACGACGAACUAGGAAGGAUUGUUGUUUCCAUCGUAAAGUUCUGGGAAUCUAUUUUGGGGUCCUAAUUGUGAAUCGUUUUGUUUGUUUUACCCUGUUAAUUAGUGGUCCUGUUCUGUUAAUUAGUGGUCCUGUUGUGCUUUCUGAAGUUAGCUCAAGGGGCCUUCUUAGGGAAAGCCAAGCUAGCUCUGCUAUCUUAAGAUGUAUUCUCUGUUUCAAAUAUAGUAUAUUCCUGUUUAAUCAAAAAAAAAAUAUUUUUAUAAUACAAUAAUCAGAUAAAAUAUCAUAUAACAGUUGAUAUGACUAAAAAAAACUCACAAUAACUGACCGUUCCUAGAGCAAGUGGCAAAGGGCUUGGUGAUUGGUACCCGAGGUCCCAAGUUCGAAUCCUAGUUGAUUCACAUUUCCAGCUAAGUUUAUUUCUAAAUGAAAUAAACGAAGCGGGUAGCAUGCUACCUAUCUAAAAAAAAAAAAAAAAAAAAAACUCACAAUUAUACGCAAGACAAAUACUAUAUAUAUAAACAUAUGUAAUUCGGUCUAUCGACAGACUAUUUUUUAGCGGAAAAAAAAAUGAUUCACUUCUUACUAAAAUAAAUAAUGUAAUGAAAAAAACUUUUAAUACUUUUUAUCAUCUAAAAUAGAAAAAAAUAUACUUAUUCAAAAUUUUGUCAACCGAAAGAUAUUACUAUAAAUCUAUAUUUUAAUUCAAAAUUAUUUAAUAUUUUUUUAUCUCUAAAAAUAAAAAAAUUCAUACUAUUCAAAUUUUUGCUACAAUAUCUAAUGUAAAUCUAUAUUUCAAUUCAAAAUUUAAAAUUAAUUUAAAAUUUAAAUUUAAAAUUUGAGAACUAUCAACAUAUUAAAAUAAUUUUAAAUAUUUUUUUUUCCAUAUUAUAGUGAACGAUUAUACUUAAUUACCAUUAGAAAAUAAAGAAGUUACCUUAAUUUAUAUGAUUUUACUCCAACCACUUUCAUCUACUAGCAUGCUCCAGUUCCCAAAUGUGUCUAAAUUAGAAGACAAUCCAAAUAUGAAAGCGACGAUUAGAAGUUGACAACUAAAGUUAAUUUAAUCGUUAAACUUCAAUUUACUCUCCGCUGAUUUUAGCUUAUUUUUUUAAAAUUUGAUUUUUACUGUAGUUCAAAAUUGCCUUAAUUAUCAUAUAAUUUUAUUUUUAUUUUACCGAUAGAAUUUGACAUAAGUUAGCAAAGUAAAUUUUUUUUAAAAAAAAUCAUAAAGUGAUAUCUGCUUACCAAUAAAUUCUUACAAUAAAAUAAAAAUAAUAUUAGUAAAAUAGUUAAGUAUGUAUAACUUUUCAAACCACGUAAAAAGUGAAUUAAAAAAUAUUAAACAACAGUAAAAAAAUUAAAAUUACUCGAUCCCAAUUCAUUCAUUUUCUUCAUCCAAAGAUUCUACAAUCUCAUUCUCUCAACGACAUUCGAGUGCAAAUUAAACAUAUACAUGUUACACCAAAAGUCAAAUCAGGCAUUAUAAUUUUUUUAAUAUAUAAAUUUUUAAAACUUUAUAAAAUUAUAUCAAAUAAAUUAAAUUUUAAUUUCAAAUUUUUUAGAGGAAAAGAUAAUUAGUUACACAUUUUGUUCAUUUUGAGAUUUUUUUUUUCCCCAAGUAAAACCUAAUAAGUGAUGUAGUGCCGGCAUGCAUAUGCUGAUCCUUGAAAAUUUUUAAGUAUCGUUUGGUUUGGAAAUAAGCAAAAAGUGGUUAUUCCAGGAAUAGGUAUAAAUUGAGGUAUAAGUAGGGGUUAUAUCAAUUUUGAGUUUGGAUGAAAAUUAGAUUUUUUUUUUUUUAGAAUAAAAAAAAAGUAUUUGGUUAGGUAAGAUGUAAUAAAAAUUUAAAUGGAUAGUUAUAAAUAAAAAAUAAUGAUGUUAUCAUUUUCUUUAUAUUAAAAUUUGAAAUUUGAAAUUUUAUAUUUAUAUUUUAGAAUAAAUAUAAACUUUUAAAUUUUAAAAUUUCAAAAUCUCAAAUUUACAAUUUUAAAAAUUUAAAAUUUAAAUUUUAAACUUUAAAAUUAAAAUGAAAUUUUAAUUUAAAAAUACAAAAUAUCAAAUUCUAAAUAUAAAAAAUUUAAAAUAUCAAAUUUUAAAAGUUAAAAUUAAACAUGAAUUUUUUUGUGUUUGGGGGAGCACGACGAGGGGGGACAGAGGAGCGAAGCGGAGGGGCGGGGGGUGAGGUGGUGGGUGUAUCUGCGUGUGUUGUGUUUUUAUAUAUGUAGGUGUAUUUUUUUGAUUUGGUUUAUUUAAAUUGUUGCAAUUAUUUUUUAAGUUACGCCUAUGGAUAACAAUACUGCGCCAAUUUAAAAAAAUUCUUUAAUUUGAUGGUCUGGCAGUAUGUCACAUUCUCGAUUGUUCGUAGCGUGUGCUUAUCAAUAUAACGACUACAUUUUAAGGACUAUCGUCUUAGGGUAUAACGGUGAGAAUAUCUCACAACUCAACGAGNNNNNNNNNNNNNNNNNNNNNNNNNCAGACUUUAUCAAAUUUAAUUUUAAUUUAAAAAUUUUAAACUAUUUAUGUGAUGUAUGCGGAUGAUGAAAAUAUUGAUAAAUAUCUAGAGGCAUUUUCAAGAAUUUGAAUAUCAACUAUAUAAAAUUUAUGAGACUCAAGUGAUAUAUAACAGGCAAUGGUAGAAUAAGUAUUUUGUAACUAUCACGAUUAUUUUGGAUUGAGACUAAUCGUUUAACGUGAGCCUUAAUUGACGGUAUAAAUAAUUUAUGAGAUUUUUCUUAUCACUCCUCCUCCUCCGUAUGCGCAACACGUGCUCCGGUAAUAAUUCCAAUACACAACACAUCCUGCAGUAACUCUUGUUACGGAGUGAAGGUUUGUCCGCCCCCUCAUUCUGAUUGCAUCUGUCAACGAAAAGGACGAACAAAUGCUUUCUAAUAAUAUAGGUACCUGCCGUUAUCUGUCCUAAAUAAAGGUUUUAUAGCUUUGCUUGCGAAAAUGUUUACUAUAUCAUACUUACAUCGCAUCACAAUAAUAAAUAUAUUAUAUAAUUUUUAAUAUAUAAUAAAAUUUUUUUAUAUUAUUAUAAUAAAUAAAUUUAAAAAAUUCUUAAUUUGAUUGUGGAGAUGUCACUUAUCAAUAUAACGGAUACAUUUAAGACUAUGUUCGGUUAGGGGAUAAGGUGGAAUUUAUUCACCCUCAUCCCCAAACACAAAAAAAUUCUUUUAAUUUUACUUUAAAAUUUGAUAUUUUAAUUUUUAUAUUUAGAAUUUGAUAUUUGUAUUUUAAUUAAAAUUUCAUUUUAAUUUUAAAGUUUAAAAAUUUAAAUUUUAAAUUUUAAAUUGUAAAUUUGAGAUUUUGAAAUUUUAAAAUUUAAAAGUUUAUAUUUAUUCUAAAUAUAAAUAUAAAAUUCAAAUUUCAAUUUAAUAUAAAGAAAAUGAUAACAUCAUUAUUUUAUUAUACUAUACCAUUUAAUUUUAUUACAUCAUACUAACCAAUACUUUUUUUUUAUUCUAAAAAAAAAAAAAUCUAAUUUUUCAUGCAAACCAAAAUAUGAUAUACCCCUUACUUAUACCUCAAUUAUAGCUAUUCUCUGGAAUAACAUUUUGAUUAUUUCCAAAGCAAACGAUACUAAAAAUUUUCAAGAUCAGCAUAAUGCAUGCCGCACUACACUUAUUAGUUUACUUUGGGGAAAAAAAAAAUCUCAAAAUGAACAAAAAUUUAACUAAUUAUUUUCCUAAAAAUUAUGAAAUUAAAAUUUAAUUUUAUUUGAUAUAAUUUAUACCAGUUUAAAAAUUAUAUAUUUAAAAAAUUAUAAUGCCUGAUUUGACUUUGGUGUAACAUGUAUAGUUGUAUAAUUUGCACUCGAAAUGUCGUUGAGAGAAUGAGAUGUAAAUCUUUGGAUAAGAAAAGAAAUGAUUGGAUCGGUUAAUUUAAUUUUUACUGUUGUUUAAUAUUUUUAAAUUCAUUUUACGUGUUGAAAAGAUAUACAACUUAACAUAUUACUAAUAUUAUUUUUAUUUUUAUGUAGGAAUUAUUGUUAAGCAUGCUACACUUAUGAUUUUUUUUAAAAAAAUUACUUUCUAACUUAUGUAAUUCUAUGGGUAAAAUAAAAAUAAAAAUUAUAUAAUUAAGUGCAAACUUUCGAACUGCAGAAAAAACAAGGAACAAUCUACUAAAUCAGGGAGAGUAAAUUGAAGUUAACGAUAAAUAACUUUAGUUGCUAACUUCUAACUCGGCUUUCAUAUUUUUGGAUUUGUCUUCUAAUUUAGACACAUUGGGGAACUGCGAGCAAUGCUAGUAGAUGAAAGUGGUUGGAGUAAAAUCAUAUAAAUUAAGGUACAACUUCUUUAUUCUAAUGGAUAUAAGUAUCGUUCACUAAUAUGGAAAAAAAAUAAUUUUAAAUAUUUUAAUAUGUUGAUAGUCCAAAAUUUAAAUUUAAUGUUAAUUUUAAAGUUUUGAAUGGAAAAUAUAGAUUUACAUUAGAUAUUGUAAAAAACAUUUGAAUAAGUAUGAAUUUUUUUAUUUUAUAGAUAAAAAAUAUAAUAUUUGAUUAAAAAUAGAUAUUAUAGUCAAUAUCAAUUCGGUUGACAAAAUUUGAGAUAAGUAUAUUUUUUCUAUUAAGAUAAAAAGAUAUAUAAAAGUUUGUUUCAUUUACAUUAUUCAUUUACGUAAGGAAGUAAAUCAUUUUUUUUCCUGUAAAAAAUACGGUCUGUGAUAAAUUAGAAAUAUGUUGUAUCUUGCGUAUAUAUAAUGUAGUUUUUUUUUUUUUUUUUUGAUAGGUAAGCAUGCUACCAUCGCUCGUUAUUCAUUAGAAAUAAACUUAGCGGAAAUGUGAAUCAACUAGUCGAACUUGGGACCUCGGUACAAUCAUCCCAAGCCCUUUGCCACUUGCUCUAGGAACGGUCAUUAUUGUGAGUUUCUUUUAGUCAUAUCAACUGUUAUAUACUAUAUUUUAUCUGAUUAUUGUAUUAUAAAAAUAUUUUUUUUUGAUUAAAACAGGAAUAUAUAUAUUUGAAACAGAGAUACAUCUUAAGAUAGCAGAGCUAGCCUUGCUUCCCUAAGAAGUCCCUUGGACUAACUUCAAGACAACAUGACCACUAAUUUAUAUUAAUCGAACAGGACCACAUUAACAGGGUAAAACAAACAAAAACGAUUCACAAAUUAGGACCCAAAAUAGAAUUCCCAGAACUUAGAUGAAACAAACAAUCUUCCUGAUUCGUCGUAGCGAUGUUGUUUCUAAAGAUCUUAUUCCGUCUCAAAGUUCCCAAACAAGCUCCAACAAGAGCAUAAGUCGAAAAGUCGCAUCUUCUGCCCUGACAAUGAGUUCUCUGCUCGAUCCAUCUUGUGGUAGACAUACUCAGUUAAAUAAUUUUAAAUCAUCCAUUUGUGAAUCGAAGCGAUUUUAAUCAAUUUAAAUUUUAUUGGACAUAUAUUUUUUUCAUUUGUUUUAUUUGUUUAGUAAGGUUUGUUUAUAAAUUAAAUAUAUUACUAUUUUUUCAUACUAAAAACUGAUAUUUAUUUUUACAAUUUUUAAUGUCAAUAUAAUUGCCCGACGUAAUAAAGCAAAUCACUACACUAGUGACCACAUGCGUCGGGUGCCGCAAGCGGUCCAAACUGAUUUAACUAAGUUUUGAUGCGAUUGGUGACAUCUUGGUAGCCCCACACAAUAAUUCUCGCACCUACUUCCAAGGCCAUGAUACUUCUAUAGUAAACUCGAUCUGACACAUACUCUCAGCACCAAAAGUCUUGUAGCUCCAUCUCAAUGUUCACCAAUACAUAUUAGUUGCUACAUAAGCAUUGGCUCUCCAAAGUUCAACUCGUUGUUCUUUUCAUGUUUCUCUGUGUGAUUGGGCUUCGCCAUUUUCGUCAGCUCUCGGACUGAACCCUAGUUGUAUUCUCCAUAUGAUUGUAACGGUUAUAAUUUGAGAUAUGGAUGGCGAGUAUUGGCGAGUUUACAAGGACAACGACGAGAAGAUUGCUCGCGUUUCAGAUAUUUCAGUAACAAGCGUGGAAGCAUUAUCGAAACCUUUACACAAGUUCGCAACAGGAAUUCGGUACACUCUCGGUUCAAUCAGUUUACCGAUAUGACAAUAAAGCGAACUUUGUUGCUCAAAUAUUAACUGGCUAUCUCUCCCACUAAAUAUGAGAGGAGAGCUAGUUGUGUCAUUUGAUGGACGUAACACAUCUCCGCGGGUGCCUCAAAGUAAUUUGAUUGAGAGAGACUAUUGGUGCCUAAACGAGGUCAAGAAUCAAAACCCCUGCUGGUAAGAAAUAAUUUAGACUAAUAAUUUCUGCAACUUCAUUUCUUAACAGAAAAAAGAAAAAAAAUUAUUCUUAGUAACUGUUAUAAGAUCUGCUAACAUGUUGCUUAGUUUUUUAUUCUUCCCGAAUGGCCCCUUCUGCUUUCUGGACAAAAGGACCAAAUCCGCCCACUAAUUUUCUGCUGAUAAAAGUUCUAAACAGUAUAAUCAUUUUUAUUUCAAUGUACAAAGAAAUGAAGUAUUGAAUCUAGUUAAUAAAAAUCAUCUUAAGCCAUCAAAUGUUAUAUAAGGUAAUUCACUAUCCAAAAAAUACAUUUUGGUGAUACAAAAGGACACUUUUUAUCCAUCGCUUUUAAGUGAUUCAAGACAUAUGUCCUACUUCGACUUGAUCAAUCUAUUUGCAAAUUAGCUUAUGCUGUGUUUUUUACUAUUAAUUAAAGUUAUCAUUUAAUCAUACCUACUAAAGUAAGCAAAGUACGUGUUAGUUCAAAAAACAGGACAUCAAUGCUGAAACCGUUUGAAAACAUUUUUUAUAUCAAGCAGCUCUGUACUAAAUUUUAAUUAUGUUAGUUAUUUUAUAUUCAUAGCAACUCAGAUAUAACUUUGCUACUUUUUUUACGCGUAUCUUUGUUUUAGGCAUAGGUUCUGCUGGGUCAUCGCUGCAAUUGCGACGGUCGCGAUUGGGAUAUUCUACAAGAAAAACAGGUAUUAGUAUCUUUAUCGGAGCAAGAAGUCUCGAUUGUGCUGUUUUUAUUUUGGCGUGUGGUAUACUAUGCUUAGCUGUGUAUUCAUAGUUCUGAAUCAUCUUUCACAGAUCUGAAUUUAAAUUUUAAAUUUGAAUUCAAAUUUUGAACUUAAAAUUGUAAGUCAAUUUUAAAUCUAAAUUAAAUUUGAAAUUCAAAUUCAAAUUUAUAUUUUGAAUUUGAAUUUCAAAAUAAAACUUUGAAAUUAAAUAUAAAACUAAUUAAAAAUCUAAAUUCACUACAUGCAAGAUAAUUAAAUUAUGGGGACAUAUGUUUGGAAUAUUUUUAUAUAAGUGCCCUAUUUAUGUCAAAACUUUAAAAAUAAUCUAUUAAUGCCUAAAUAUAAAGCCCAAUCCAUUCUCCGGUAAACUAAGAUUAUCGGACCAAUUUUCAUAUUGUAAUGAAUCGAUUGUAACCUAAUUCUUAUAGUCCAUUAAAAAAUAAAAAAGUGAAUAUUUAAAUGAUUUUACAGUAGUUCUUAAGUUAGAAGACGACCCAAAAUAUGCAAUGGCGGAGUUCGGAGCUGGUAACUAAAGUUAAUUUAAUAUGUUAACUUCAAUUUACCCCGUGAUUAAGUAGAUUUUUUCCCUUUUUCCUCCGAUGCUUCAAAAAUUCGCCGACAGAACCCAACGUCAGUUACCAAAGUGAAUUUUUUUAAAAAACUUAUAGCAUACUAUGCUCUUUAACAAUAAAUUCUUACAAUAAAAUAAAAAUAAAAUUAUAGAAUACUGAAGUAUAACUCUUUAAGCCAUUGAAUGACAAAAAAAAUAUAUAUAUAUAUAUAUUAAACCACAAUGAGAAAAAUUGAAAAUUAUCCUACUUUUUAGUUCAUCAUACUAACUCCAUACCUACAAGCUCAUGUAUUACACCAAAAAUCAAACCAUCAUGUAUUAUAUAUUUUUUUAAUAUAAAAAUCUUUUAAACUCUAUAAAAUUAUAUUACAUUAAAUUAAAUUUUAAUUUAAAAUUUUUGGGAGGAAAAGAUGCAGUUUUCAGUUUCGUUCAUUUUACGAUUUUCUUCUCUUUUUUUCCUUUUUGAAGUAAAACGUAGAGACUUGGUGUAUCCUAAUGUUCAUGCGAUGAAAUCAUUAAUUUCUCUCUUGUCCAUUAAUUUUUUGAGAGAAAGGUACCUGCUUUAUUCAUUAAAGAAAAAAUUAAACUACACGAUUAAGAUAAAGGAAUCUCCGAAGUAGACCGAAAAAAUGAAAAAAAAAAUAAUUAAAUUUACAAAAACAUAUAACAAAAAAAAAUUUAAAAAAAAGGAUAUGCUCGUUUAAACACUCUAUUCUUCUCCCACUGAAGCAUCAAACAUCUGAUCGAUUUGACAGCUAGUAAAGAAUUAGUAUUAGCCAAUCUAUAAAUAACGGUGUUUCUUACUGUUCAGAUAACUCACCAAUUUUUUUUUUUGAAAAAGAUAACUCACCAAUUGACUGUGAGUUUUGUAAAUCUGUUUCUAACAUUCUGAGCACUAUCCCUUCCCAUGCUUCCACUUAUCCCAUACUAACCUCUCUUGUCCUUUGCUGGAUCGGAAAGUUGCAAUCAAGUUUGUCCGUUUCUCUCCCUGUUGGAGAGCAGUCAGAUUUUUUUUUUUUGGUGCACCCGGUGCACUAGUUUUGUUUUAAAAUUUUAUUUUUUGUUUUUUAAUUAUAAUUUAAUAAUAUAUCUCAUGAUUUUAAAAAUAUAUGUAAAAUAAUUUAGAAUUUAGGAUUUAAAAUUCUUUUGCAUAUAUUUUUUAAAUAUCAUAAAAUAUAUAUCUGUUAUAUGAAAUUAAAAUUAAGAUUAAAAUUAAAAUUUUAAAGUAAAAAAUGAUGCACCGGUGCACCGAAAAAAACCCGCUGUGUCCCGAGAGGCAGAGCAGUCGGGACGGUGGCCCGCGUGGCUCGGGUGCCAUGCGGCGCCCAUCCAGUGUCCUCAAAAAAAAAGGAGAAUUAAUGGGUGGAGCCCAACAAGUUGGUACAAAUCGCCAUUAAAUUAAGAUUAAAUAGUUCGGGACCGCUUGCGACACCAUGUCAUGUGGUUAUGAGCUAAUCACAAAAAUAUUUAAGUUUCUCUACUUGUCUCAUAUUUAAAUUUUAUAAUUUUUUUUAUAGGACAUACAAUAACGAAAUAGAUCUGGACCCUGUUAAAGAUAAAAAUAUAUAAACAUUAUUCUCUAAAAGUUUAAGCUUUUAGUAUCGUUUGGUUCGAGGAUAAGCAAAAAGUGACUAUUCCAGGGAUAGGUAUAAAUUGAGGUAUAAGCGGGGAUUAGAUCAAUUUUGCGUUUGGAUGAAAAUUGGAUUAUUUCUGAAAAUAAAUAUAAAUAAUAUGUAUUAAUAUAGUACAAUUAAUAAUUUUAUAAUAAAAAUAAUGUAUUAUAAUAUAUAACAUAUUAUAUUUAUAUAAUUAGUUUUAAUUCAAUUUAUAAUUUUAAUUAAAUUUGAAAUUAAGCAUUAGAAUAGUGCUAUUCCACCAAAAUGGUGGAAUAGCAAAUCCCUUGCUAUUCCGGAAUAACCGGAAAUAGCAAGGUUUGACCGGGAUAAAAUAUCCCGGCCAAAUUUCAUCCCAUUUGGCGGAAUAGCGGGGAUAACUUUUGUUAUCCCCGCUUAUCCCCCAACCAAACGGGGCCUUAAGGAAUUCACAUUGUGAUUGUUUGAUUGAUGGAUGGCCAUUACAUUGAAAUUGGUCUAUGCACUCUGUUUGGUUAAAACUAUUUGAGUAGUUCUCAUCAAGAAUCCCUACACAUUUUUUUUAUUAUAUUCAUUUCCUACUUUUAUUCUAUCUCUCCACACACACACACACACACACACACACACACACACCCCCUUCCCACCACCCCCUCCAAAUUUGGCUGAUAUUAAUGAAAAGGAAUUAUAACUAGUUGAGAGGAGAUUUUCGGCACUUUAGAAAAUAAGUGUGUAUGUUUGCUCUACCGUGUUAAUUUACUGAAAUUACUGUCAUUGUACAGGGUUAUGUGUAAUUCCAGUUGUAAGAACCUUUAGAACACAUCAACUUGUGUCAUACGUUGUUACGCCUUUUUGACAAAACGUAGGAAUAUUAUUUGAGUAGAGGUAUUUGAAGAAGUUGCAAGAUGUGUUUGUUUAGAGUAUUGUAGUUCCAUGGAUAGGAAAUAAGGAUAGUUUAUCCACUAUAAGAGGGCAAAGGGAAUUAUCUAGGCUAAUGGUUCCUUAUGAGAGUAGCAUAACUCCAUUCUAGCGUACAGUUUGAUAUCUCCUACUUAGUUCUAGUUGGGAAUUUAUCAAACUCAAAAGUACUUAACAGGAUAGCAGGGAUAUUGCCAUUAUCUUUCCAACUUGCAAAUGCUGAAUGUAAAUAUACUUGGCAUGGAGUUGAACAAAAAAACUUUUAAGUUAGACCAGCUUUUUAGGGAGCUCUUUUAGUCUUCGCACUAUGCUAGGAGCUCUAGAUUUUUUUUCUGUUUGCUAAACGUCUGACUUUUGCUUCUUGAGUAGAAUAACUUUUUUAGAAGUCAAACCAAUUAGGUAGUAUAUACUUUUGCAUAUGCUAACAAAAGUAUGUAUUCGAAAAAUAUUUGCUGAGCUAACCUGUGACAUUAGGAUGCUAGCACAAGUAUCACUGCUGUAUAUGCUGNCUAAUUCCUACUUAAUUACCAUUAGAAAAUAAAGAAGUGUACCUUAAUUUAUAUGAUUUUACUCCAACCACUUUUCAUCUACUAGCAUGCUCCAGUUCCCAAAUGUGUCCUGAAUUAGAAGACAAUCCAAAAUAUGAAGAGCCCGAGUUCGUUUCUUCAAAAAAUUUUCGGAAUUUUUGUAGAUUUAUUUGCGAAUUUUUCGGACAAAAAAAAUGGCUUAAUCUAAUUUAUUCUUUUUAUUUUUUUGGAAAAAUACGUAAACAGCCGAUUAAUUCGUUUCUUCAAAAAUUCGCGAAUUAUUCGCGAAUUUACUAUCUAAGCCUAUCGCUCUCAAAAACAAAAGAAAAAAAAAGAAUUUUUAUCAGAGCAUGUGUUGCACAACGGGCGGAGGAGUGAUAAGAAAAAUCUCAUAAAUUAUUAAUACUGAUAGUUACAAAUAUCUUUAUUAAAUUAUUAUAAAUAUUACAAAUAUCUUUAUUAAAGCGAUUAGUCUCUAUCCAAAAUAAUCGUGAUAGUUACAAAAUACUUAUUUUAUUAUUGCCUAUUAUAUAUCAUUUGUGUCGCUUAAAUAUUCUAUAGCUGAUAUUCAAAAUUUUUCAAAAAUGCCCUCUAGAUAUUUUAUCAAUAAUUUUCAUCAUCACGCAUACAUCACAUAAAUAAUUUAAAUUUUAAAAUUUAAAAUUAAAAGUAAAAAUUUAAAUUUAAAUUUAAAAUUUGAUAAAGAUCUGAAUUCAAAUUUUAAAUUGAAUUCAAAUUUUGAACUUAAAAUUGCAAGUCAAUUUUAAAUAUAAAUUUAAAUUUGAAAUUCAAAUUCAAAUUUAUAUUUUGAAUUUGAAUUUCAAAAUAAAACUUUGAAAUUAAAAAUAAAACUAAUUCAAAAUCUAGAUUGAAAGUAAAAUUAGUAUAAAAUCUUAAUUCGAUUUCAAUUGAAUUUGAAUUAUAUUCGAAUCCAAAAUCAAAAUUUAAAUUUUAAAUUUAUAAUUAAAAUUAGAUUAAAUUAAUAUUACAAUUCAAUAUUAUAAUGUAAAUUUGAGUGAGUCUAAGAUCGCAGUUUAAAUUGAAAAUUGAAUUAAAAAAUUCUAAUUAUAAAUUUUGGAAAUAUUUAGAGAUAAAAUGAUAUUUUAAAAUUUAAGUAGCAUUAAACUAGCUUCCAACUAAGAUUAGGAUAACACUCCGUGACGUGAGUUUACAUAAGAAAUAUUUAUGAUAUAACUCAUUCUAUUGGAAGAGCGUAUAUGAUAUUUUAAUAUUUUUAGAGGUGCCUGUGAUAGUUUAAGAUUUUGAAAAAUAGUUAUGAAACUGUCCCUGCAUUUCAAAAUUUGGAAAACUGAUCUCCCUGACUUGCGGAUUUCAUGUAGUACAAUUUUUUGACGGUGUUCUUAAUGCAAGUAACAAAUUAUAAGCAACUUUAAAGGAAAAAAAGUUACAUAUUUUUAGGGAUCGUAUUUUGGAAAUUUGAGGAUGAGUUUUUAGUUGUCCAGGUUUCACGCUUUGAUAAAUAAUAUGAUCAGAAGAAUCAUAAAUGGCGAUAGCUUACGUUUACCUACUUUUAUUAGAUAUAUAGUUUAAUAUAUUCUUUUUCCGCAUAAAAUUACUAAUUAAAUAAAACCAAUUGAUGCUCAAACUCUCUCUUCCUAUGGAAUAAAAAUAAAACAUAAAAAAGGAUAAAUUACGCUUUUGGUCCUCAAACUAUAAGAUAUAUGACACUUUAGUCUUCAAACUUUAAUGUGUUAUAAUAACUUAUGGCUCAAAGUAUGAGACACGUGACACUUUAGUCCUUAAAUUUUAAUUAGUUGUAAUUUCUGACUUACACUAAAGUUAAUUAAUUUAUUUAUUUCUACGAAAUCGAUCGGUUUUGUUCAAUCAGUAAUUUUAUUCGAUGUUAAACUAUAUAACAAAUUUUAUAAUGUCUAAUUGUUAAAAUUAAAAAUCGACCAAUCAUAUUUUAAAUAUUAAAAAAAUUAUAGAUGCAAAAUUGAUCUUUGAUCGGAUUGUAAUAUAAUAUUAAACUUUUAUAAUAAAAUCGUAUAAAAUUUGUCUAAACUAUAAACCAUUCUGAAUCAUCUAUUCAACCUUUUAAAAUUUUAUUCUUAUUAUCGAACUAUUCGAUACGUUAGAUUUUAAAAUUUAUAUAUAAAAGGUUUAUAUAUUUUAAAUUUUAUAAUAAAAGCCCGCCACGCCUCUCUCCCCCGGCCCCGCCCCAGCGUCUGCGACGUGGCUCAUAAGAGACAAUUGAAAUUAUUUCGGGGACCAUCCGAGUUAUUUUGCAGCCAAGGUUGGACGUGGAUUAAUGCGGCGAUAACUCAAAUUACCAUUACCAUACUAUAAAUCCGAGCAAGAAAUGUAUGGAACCCCCUGAACUAUAUGCCACUAUGAAAUAGCGCCUUCAAUCUACUUUUGUUUUUUCCCAUUUCGUGUUGAGUGAUUUUGGUGACUCACAGUAAUUAUGAUAAUUUUAUCAUAUUUAAUUUAUUUAGUUUACAUACUACGUACAAUUGGCAGUUUGUGCAACAAUUAAUCUAUUCAGCUUAUUUUAUUCAGCUUGUUUUAUUAUACUAUAUAUGUUGAGUAUCACAACGAUGAUCUUCUAGCUUAUUUUCACGAAACUUUGCAUCGGAAUUUAAUAAUCGUUUUAAAUAUUUUUUAACUUCUUAGAUUACGGUGGUAUUAAAGUGCAUUACCAUAUAUUUUUUUUUUGAGAAAAAAAUUUUAUNCAUUCCGUGCGUCUGUGCUAGCAGUUCUUGGCAUGACUCCAUGCCACUCCAUAAAUCCUUGCUUUUGUUGUUUACAAGGCUAAACUUCAAAAUCGGCACUGUGGUAUAGUGCAUUUUCGCGUUGGUGCACUAUGGAUUCUUUUCUAUCACAUAGGUGCCCUGAGUUUGGUAUUGAAAUUAUUCCUCAAGGACCUUUUUUCUAGCCCUGUUGGUAUUUGUGUGUGUUUCCAGUUCAAAUCGUUGUUGGCUCGGUUUUUUUAAGUCUAAACUCAACCGAGAACCCGAAUGCAAGCCCAUCUUAUAAGGGGUUUCUGAUUAAGUUUGAAUCAGAACACGACCUAAGCCCUGACCUAACACGACCCAACCUGUUUAUAUAUAUAUAUAUAUAUAUAUAUAUAUAUAUAUAUAUAUAUAUAUAUAUUCCAGUCAAUCUAUUUCUAGCAUACUGAGCACUAAUCCCUUCCGAUGCAUCCACUUAUCCCAUGCCAACCUUUCUUGUCCUUUGUUGGAUCGGAGAGUUGCAAUCAAGAGUGGGACAACUUUUCACUCCGUCCGCAAGAGUUGUUGUCGCUGCGCUUGCACCUCAUUUAUUGUUGUUGUAUGAUUGAAAUUAUUUAGGGCAUGUGUGGCACAACAUGAAUAAGAAUAAGAGUUUAUGCACAUAAAUUUAUAUAUAUAUAUAUAUAUAUAUAGAGUCCGGCUACUAUACUCUUAUGAGUAUGAUUGUCCUCGUACUUAUAAGUUGUUUUCGAUGAUAGAGCUUCCGAAUCGACGAUCCAUACUGUUAAAUAUUAUUUAGAGCAUUUAAAACGUAUAGAAAUUAAAUUUUAUAAUUUUUCGAUAUCAUUUACCUUACAAUCAAAAGGUCACAAAAUUGACAAUUUUUAACGGCCGGUAUGAAAUAUUUGUUAGUUAAACAGUAUAAAAGAAUCAAAAUAAGUUGAUUUUUUGAUAGAAAAUUCUAUUCAGUAUAUAGAUAAAGAUCAAUAGCUCCGAUCUUAAAUUGAAGGAUCCGAUCAUAAAUUUUUAAGACGUCGUUCGAUUUUGACAAUUCAUUUUAUACCCGCUUGAUGAACUUUAUUAUGAUUUCAAAAAAUUACGAAAUUUAUUUUCUAGAAAUUUUAAUAAACUAUAUUUAACGGAAUGGAUCGUCGAUUUGGAAGCUACAUCAUUGAAAACAACUUAUGAGUAUGUACGAAGUGUUCUAUACUCAUAAGAGUAUAGUAGCCCUAACAUAUAUAUAUAUAUAUAUAUAUAUAUAUAUAUAUAUAUAUAUAUAUAUAUAUAUAUAAAACUAGGCUGGUAUACUAUCGGUAGCACGGAGGCUGAUAUAUAUAUAUAUAAAAUAGAGCUUCUACAUUUUUAAAAGUACCAAGUUAUUGGUACUUAUAUAUUUUUUGCCAUUGAAAUAAGAGAUAUACGGUUAGAAUGAUGUGGGACCAUUAAAAUUGAGUGGUGGUUGGUUCGGAUGAAAAUAAUCAAAUGUAUAGAUCUAAUAGUAAAAAAUUUACAAGUAUCAAGUGUUUGAUACUUUUAAUGUACCAUAUAUGCAGAUUUCUGAGACGGUAAAAAUUUUGCUUUUGUCUAAAUAAAUGAAAGAUGGAAUGGUUAAUUUGAUUUGAAAUUUUGUUUUUCUCCCGUUCAACUCGUUACGUUCUACUGGUUACAUUCUAUAUAUUUGUAGUGGCGUUGAACCACACCGUACAUGUGAGUAAUUAAGAUACAACCUUAUUUUCUAUAGAUAUCUGAGAUUUGGGUAAAUAGCUCUACAUGUCUCUAAACUUAAAUUAGUUUUUAAACUUGUAAAUUUGGUAUAUAUUUAAGACCGGACUGUUUGAAUUAUAUCAUUCUAGUCCUUAUUCUGAAUAAAAAAAAACAAAAAGCGGUAAACUAUAGUAAAACCUUCCAGUACUGCAUGUAUCAGUUAACACCCUCAAUUUAAUUUUAAAUAUGUUGAAUGGGGAAAUUAAUUGCACUACUAAUUAAUUUCCAAACUUCUAUUUUAGUCCUCAAUUUUUAAGUUUCACAAUAUUUGGGACUCAUUGAAUGUUUCAUUCUAGCACUUAGUUAAAAAACUAAAAAAUAAAAAAAUAUAAGAGAGAAAGAGAAAAGCUAAAUUUGUAGAAAACCUCGCCCCUUUCAUAUGUUAGAUUUUAUACUUUAUUUUCUUCAAAUUAUCAGGCCAAAUCAUUCUGUACCGACUAAGAUUUGAUAUUAGAACCACUCACCCAAUCAUAAAAUAAGAAGCGAAAAAAGCUCUAUUAUCGUGUUAAAGAACUAGAAUAUAAUCUAAAAACUCAAACGGAGUGGUAAAAAUAACCUUCACAUUAUGUAUACUAUUUUAUUUUUAUCUAAAAAGAAUCUAAACACAAGUACUCUAAUAAUAUAAUUUUGUAUUUUGUAUUUCAAUUAUAUGCACUUUCUCUAUAUAUUGACCCUCACAUUACCCCAUAGAUAUUCAAAACAAAUAAAUCUACAAAAAUAUUAUUUUUGAGACAUUUUCCUAUCAUAAUGUUGUACUAGUGUAGAGACCCGCGCGAUACAGCGGGUAGAUAAUAGAAUCAAAACUUAAAAAUUUUAAUAAAAUUUAUAUUUAUAGUUUAUUAAAUUCAACUAUUAAAAAAAUAAAAUUAUAGCUUAUAACCCACACAUUGAUAAAAUAUUAAUAUGAUGCAUGUAAUUAAAUGUUGCACUUUACAUGUAAUUAGAGAAGUGGAGAGGUGAAGAGUUGGACGUUGAGAAGAGAAAAUAAUUUGAUUUAAAAUUGGGCUAUGAGAAUAAAGAAUAACAUAUGGCAAAAAAAAAAUUUUUAUGGUACAUGCAAAAGAGUUACAAAAAAGAGGGCUGAGAGAUUAAUGGAGAAGAGAAGUUGAUUAAAGUUAUAAAUCUCACUCGAUGAUAGAAUAUUAAUAUGGUGCAUAUAAUUAAAUCUUGUUACUUACAUGUAAUUAGAGGAGUGGAAAGGUAAAGAAUUGGGCGUUGAGAAAAGGAGAAGAUGAUUUAAUUUAAAGUUGAGUUAUGAAAACGAAAGCUAACAUGCCACGUGGCAAAAAAAAAUACAAAACUGUAACUUCAUAAAGAUUUAUUUAUAGAUUUAUAGAUGUGCACGUGCGUGACUUUUCAAAUUGUGUUGGACCAUCCCAAUUAUUUUGCAAACAACGUAUUCAAUGCGGUGACAACUCAAAUUUAAUUAUUGGAGCAAGAAAAUGUAUGGAAACCCCUAAACUAUAAGCGACUUUGAAAUAGCUCCUUUAAUCUGGUUUAAUUCUAUCGACUGUUUCUAGAGCAAAUGGUCGGUAUCCGAGACUCAAGUUCGAAUUCUAGUUGAUUCACAUUUCUAGCUAAGUUUAUUUCAAAAUGAAAUAAACGAAGCGGGUAACAUGCUAUCUUUCUCUCAAAAAAAAAAAAAAAAAUCUGGUUUAAUUCUCCCUCGCUGCCAUAUUUUAUAUUAGCUUAUGGUGUUGAGUCAAUGCUUUGAGGUGUCGCUAAUAUGUUUGUAUUCUCUCUUAAAUACGUAAUUAAUGCAAGAGAUAAACUACACCCCACUCAAGUUUUUUUUUUCCAUUCUAAUUAGCUGUCAAAGAUUAAUUAAAUAUAUGGACAGUUGAAAGAAACAUUUCUCUGCUUUUCUAUUUUUUCUAAAUCUCUUACAUUUUCUCUUAUAGAUAUACGCAUGUUACGAUAGUCUUUAUAGUUCCAGUUCUAUCACUGUAACAAAAUAUAUUUUAAAUAAUAUUUUUUAGACAACGCUCUAUUAUAAUAUCUUCAAUAUUUGGUAUAUAUCAACAGUAUGACUAAAUAUUGUUAAUAAAUAUAUUUUUAUUAAAAUACUGAUAAAUUUUUCGACGCUAUAUUAAAGCGUCUGUAUAUAUAUCCCAACAUAUUUACUUAACGACUCUUUAUUCGAUAUUUUUACAGGUGUCGAGAUUAUUCUUACUGAUGCUUUAAAAACGAUCUCGAAUUUUUGUAAGUAGUAUUUCGUGAUGGACUAUUGAUGCAUAUAAAAAAAAAUUAUGUGGUUUGAUACUUUAGUUUAAAUCUAUAGAUGAAGAUGGAGCGAAAAUUUUAUUAUAGCCAAAAGUGCAGAAGAUAAGAUUUAUGCCCAUUGUUCACCCUUAUCUUGACCACAUGUUGCGGUCUAGGUUCUGGGGUGAAGAAGAUCUGCAUUAUUGCGCUUAUGUAUGUACUAUUUUCUUGACAAUUUGGGCAAUAGAAUUAAGCUCGUAUGUUUUUAAUAGUGUAAGUUAUUGAUGUUUGUAAAUUUUCGAUCUUUGAGUUAAGGGAUGUGCGGUUUGAAUGAAAAUAAUCUUCUUAGGUUGAUUGGAUAGUUGGUUGAAUAGUAUAUAUGCUCUAACGAGUAAAAAUAGUUAAAAGGAUAAAUCUAACGGCAGAAAACUUAUAAGCACUAAGUACUUGCUACUUUUGAAAACAUCAUAGUCGGACUCUCGAGCAAUAUUAGUUUUUAUAAACCGAUGAAAAAUAGAUUUAAGUAAUUGAUACCGUAAAUUUGAAAUUGUAGAUGUCGUGUAGCUUUUCCAGUUUAUAUAGUUUGCUCAGUAUAUAUUUAUCGUUUAGUUUAUGAAUUCCAUUUUUGUCUACUUCAAUAUCAAUCGAUUAUCAUAUUAUUCAUAAAUAAAAAUGGUGAAUAAAAAAGUGAAAUUGUAUCGUGCAAUUUGUGAAUAUAUAUUUUUAAUUUACCUUCUUUAAAUUAGUAUAAUUAUUUUAUUUAAUAUUUGUACAAUUUAAUUACUUUCAAUUAAAUAUAUUUUGUUUGCUAUGCAUUAAUUUUACUGCUUUAUGAAAUUUUAAAGGUAAAAAUAUAUGGUUUAAUAAAAAAGGAUUGAUGAUUUGCAAUGGGCAAGGUAGAAAUAAUUUUAAAAGAGUUGUCACUAAUCUUAAUAUUUUGAAUAAUUUUUUUAAAAUUAGGUAAAUAUAUUUUUUUGGCAUUAUUAUUUUAGAAACGCUUCUAUGUAUAUUAUGUGACUGAGGAUCAGAAGGAAAAAUUUUAGAAUGCAACUGGUAUAUUGGUGACGUGGCGUAACAAACUAAUCAAAUAUCUGGUAUAUUGGUGACGUGGCGUAACAAACUAAUCAAAUAUCUCCUUUUAGAAGUAUAUAUGUUCCAUCAUGAUUGUAAAAAAAUAUCGAUUAGAAGAGGGUACGUAGUUUCGGGACCACCUCCAUAUUGGUUAUAAGAUUGGAAUUAUUGGCACAUGCACGUGUUACGUGUACGUAGCUCGAUCGGAAUAUAUAUAUAUAUAUAUAGAACAAUAAUACAUAAUUAGCAGUAUGGCACUAUUAGGUAAUAAAUAAUAUGAAGUAACGACGAAAUUAAGCGUGCUUAUAUGGAUAUGCUUCAGCAUUAAUUUUUCAAAUGGGACCGCAAAUUAUGAUGCAUGUAUUAUCUGCUUCAAACCUCUUCAUCAUCAAAUCAUCUGCUUCGCCGAGAGAAGCCAACGACGAAGCCCACAUCACAGAAAGAAACAAAAAAAGAAACAAUACUUGGUACUUGGAAGCCAUAGCUCACACUUACGACUAGUUUUGUUGCUGAGAGUAAGGUUCUCCGCAUCGAGUUUAUGUACAAGUUCUCGACCUACUAAUUAAAGUUGCUGGACCAUUAAUGGACGUGAGAGGUCAAUUAUUCGGGGCUAUUAUUAUUAUUAUUAUUAUACGAUAUCAUUAUUGGCGGCAAUUUGCACCGCUGGUCACUGAGCCCUAAUAGCUACAUUUGGUUUGGGAACAAAUUUUGAGUAAUAAUUCGUUUAUCGUUCCACCAACAAACGAUAUUUGGGAAUUAUCUAGAAUAAGCACUAAAUUACAUUUGGAUGCUGUUUAUUGAGUUGAGUUGAAAUGCUAUUAAUAGUCUUUAAAUUUUUUUACUAUCGAUUUUUUAAUUCUUAGAUUUAUAUUUUAAUUAAUUUCUUAUUUAGGUCAUGCUAUUGAAUUUUAUAGGGAUAUAUUUAUAAUUAGUUAUGUUUACAAAAAACUAUACGUAAUUAACCCUAAAUUUAAUUAAAUUUUAAUUUUAAAAUUUUUUUAGAGGAAAAGACACAGUUUUCAGUUUCGUUCAUUUUGUGGUUUUUGUUUUUUUUUAUUUUUAAAGUAAAAUCUUAUUAUGUAGAGAGUUGGUGCUAAUGUGCAUGUGAUGAAAUUUCAUUAAUUGAUUUCUCUCUUCCGUUGUUCGAUCGGAAUGCCGCAAUCAUGAGAGGGACAGCAUUCCAGUGCUCCAUACGCCAGAGUUAUUGUGGCUGAGCUUGCACCUCUAUGUGGGACAAAAAUUUUGCGGGCACCAUCCCUAAAUUAAUAAUUUGGGGACCGUGCAAAUGGGUGUCACGUGAUUGGUUCGACGGAUGCCAAUUUUUACUAUUUUUUAUCUCUCUUUAGAAAAAUAGUAUAAUUUUUUUUUUUUUUUUCAUUGAUGGCAGUCGGAUGGACCACGUGACGCCCAUCCGCAUGGUCCCUCUAUGUGUUGUCCUUGUAUGAUUGAUGAUUGAUAGUACAACAUGUCUGGCACAACAGAAUAAGAAUAAGAGCCGCACGUAAAUUUAAAAUGAUAUAUGUAAAUUAACAAAUAUUAUUAUUGUUUAGAAUAGGUGUUUCUUUUUUUUAAGAGGGAACUCACCAAAAAUAGAAAAUUUUCUAGAUAAUGGCCGUUCCCUGAUACGUCAAUGUAUUGAAGGUGUUUUCGAUAAUAAAAUUGAGAUCUAGUAAAGUACAUUUACUGAAUAUAUAUGAGCGACGAUUUGUGAUAAUUUAUCUCUUCCUUCAAAAUCGUGUAGAAAUUAGAUAGAUUUUCUUUUAAUCGAACCGCUUCCGUAUUGAUCUAUAUAUAUAUAAUGUGAUUUGAAUACUCAUAAAAGGGGAUGGUGUACCAUUGCCCACUUUUAACAUGCACAAGACAUAGACUAUAAGUAAAAUUUACUUUUGUCUAAAUAAACGAAAGAUGAAAUAAUUAAUUUGAUUUGAUUUGAAAUUUAUAGUGGUGUUGGACCACAACAUACAUCUGAGUAAUUUAGAUACGACCUUAUUUUCUGUAGAUAUAUGAGAUUCGGUUAAAUUGCACUACAUGUCUCUGAACUUAAAUUUAAUUUUCAAAAAUUUGAUAUAUAUUUAAGACCGGACUUUUUGAAUUAUAUCAUUCUAGUCCUUAUUCUGAAUAAAAAAUGGGGUUAAAUUAUAGUCAAACUUUUCCCUGCAUGUGUCAGUUUACACCCUCAAUUUUUAAAUAUGUUGAAUGGGUAAAUUGCACUACUACUUCCCAAACUUCUAUUUUAGUCGUCAAUUUUUAAGUUUCGCAAUAUUUAGGACUCGUUGAAUGUAUCAUUCUAGCCCUUAGUUCAAAAAAAUAAAAAAUAAAAAAUAAAAAACUAUCGGAGAGAAAGAGAAAAGCUAAAUUUGUAGAAAACCUCCAUACAAAAGUUGUAUUUUACACUUUAUUUUCUUCAAUAUUUAAACUAUCAGGCAAAAUUAUUAUAUACCGACUAAGAUUUUAUAUUACAAUCACUCGCCCAAUCAUAUAUUAAGAAGCGGAAAAAGAUCUAAUAUGGUGUUAAUUAAAGAACUUGAAUCUUAUCCAAAAUAAGCGGUAAAGAUAGAUAACCUUCACAUUAGGUGUACUAUUUUAUUUUUAUCUAGUAAGAAACUAUACACAAGUACUCUAAUAAUAUAAUGUCUUUUCUAUUUCAAUUAUAUGUACUUUCCAUAUUGAACCUCACAUUACUUCAUAAAUAUUCAAAACAAAUAAAUCUAAAAAAAAAUUUCUCAAAAAACAAUAUAAAAAAAUAUUAUUAUUGAGAUAUUUUCGUAUCAUAAAGUUGCAUGUGAAUGUGCAGGACUUUUCAAAUUGUCUCGGGGGCCAUCCCAAUUAUUUUGCUGCCAACGUAUUCAAUGCGGUGACAACCGACAUUUAAUUAUUGGAGCAAAAAAAUGUAAGGAAACCCCUAAACUAUAAGCCUCUUUGAAAUAGCUCCUUCAAUCUAGUUUUUCUCUCAUUGCCCUCUUUUAUAUUAGUUUAGAGUGUGUUUGGUUCCACCUAAAAUUAUUUCAAUUUUUUUUUGGCAGUUGAAAAGUAAAUUCUCGAUGUUUGAUUGUUUGCAAAAAAAAUUUCUCAAUUUUUUUUUUUUACAGAUUCAAUAGAACUGGAGGAUUUUGUUCUCUGCUUGUUUCGAGAGGAAAACGAAAACUUCAGCCGCGAAAAUACGUGGCGUUUCGGAAAGGCGGGGAUGUGUAUCACGUGGUCCAAAAGGUGACCUCCACCUCGUGGACUGCAUGAGAGUCUCUCCCCCUUUUCUUAUAUAUAUAUAGAGUCCGGCAGCUAUACUCUAAUUAUGAGAACGAUCGCCCUCCUACUCAUAAGUCGUUUUCGAUAAUAGAGUUUCCGAAUCGACAAUCCAUACCGUUAAACAUUAUCUACAGUAUUUAAAACUUCUAGAAAUCAAAUUCUAUAGUAGGUCUUGUGUGCUUUUAGAAGUACAAGGCCUUCAUACUGCUAAACCGUUUUCGAUGAUAGAGAUUCUAAAUUAACGAUCGAUUCCGUUAGACUUGAUUUAGCAUAUUUGAAAUAUCUAAAAAAUAAAUUUUACGAUUUUUCGAUAUCAUUUAUCUAACGAUCAAAAGAGUUCAAAAUCAACGGUUGAAAAUAAAAAUCUCACAAAAAGCGGUGAUAUGGACACUAAAAUUUUUGAUUAGAGAUAUUGAUCUUGCUAUAAAUAGUAUAAAUAAUUUUUUAUAAAAAUUUUAUCUGAUUUGAAUAAUUAUACACGGUUAAAUUUGCAAACAGUAUAUAUAUAUCAACAAUUAACAAUUAUUAAUUUUGAUCCCUUUCGAUCAUUAAGUAAAUGAUAUUAAAAAAUCACAAAAUUUAUUUUCUAAAUAUUUUAAAUACGCUAGAUCAAGUUUAACGGAGCUGAUCGUUAAUUCAAAAGCUCCAUCAUCAAAAAUAGUUUAGAAGCACAGAGGCUCGAUCCGUGCUUCUAAUAGCGUAGUUGAAAUAUUCAAAAACUCCAUCAUCAAUGAUCGGUGCGAAUUAAGGAAGAAAAAAUUCAACUUAUCUUACAAAAUUAUUUUGGGAAAUCCUCGCUGCACAAUUAGGCGAAUCCUAUGCCCAAAUGAACAUCAAGAGAUUGAUAAAAAAAAGGGAGAGCAAAGAAAUGGGUUUAAAAAAACACAAGGAGGGCCCCAAUCCACCUCUCCUCCACCCAAAUAAAUGUACGCGGUACCGCCACGUUGGAUUAAACUGUGAUUUUAUAAAUUUUUAUUAUAGAAGAUGUUAUCAACAAAAAAUUUUAAUUCUUAUAUUUUUUUAUAUAUAAAGUGAAAAUUUUUAUUUUAGUUUAUUUUAAUAUCUUUUCUGUGAAACAAUCGUUGUACUCUAAAAACUUAAAUUGUUAGAGAACGAUGUUUAAACAUUUUUUAUAUUUAACACUCCCCCUCACGUCUGGGCUUGAGACUUUUUAGUCGGCCCAUGACGUGAGCUUGAAUUAAAUGGGAGGAAAUUAAUAUGUUAGGAGUCUGGCGUGACUCCAACUCAAGACCUCCUGCUCUGAUUUAGAUGUGAAACAACUGUUGUACUCUAAAAGCUUAAACUGUUAGAGAACGGUGCUUAAACAUUUUUCAUAUUUAACACUCCCCCUCACGUCUGGGCUCGAGACUUUUUAGUCGGCCCAUGACGUGGGCUUGAAUUAAAUGGGAGUAAAUUAAUAUGCUAGGAGCCUGGCGUGACUCGAACUCAGGACCUCCUGCUCUGAUACCAUGUGAAACAUCCGUUGUACCCUAAAAGCUUAAGCUGUUAGAGAACGGUGUUUAAACAUUUUUUAUAUUUAACAUUUUCCUGCAUUUGAUUCAAAAUUUAUUACAAACUAAUAGGUUGAUGAUGUCUUCUGUUUUUAUUUAAUAUCUAAAUUUGAGGGCAGUGAGUACCCCAAUUUAAUUUUUUUAAUUCAAUAUCAUUUGAUUAUCAAAUUAUUCAUAAAUAAAAAUGGUGAAUAAAAAGUGAAAUUGUAUCGUACAAUUUGUGAAUAUAUAUUUUUAGUUUACCUUGUUUAAAUUAGUAUGAUUGUUUUAUUUAAUAUUUGUACAAUUUAAUUACGUUCAAUUAACUAUAUUUUGUUUGCUAUGCAUUUUACUGCAUUUAUGAAAUUUUAAAGGUAAAAAUUUAUAGUUUAAUCAAAAAGUAUUGAUGAUUGGCAUUGGGCAACGUAGAAAUUUUGAAAGAGUUGUCACUAAUCUUAAUAUUUUGAAUAAUUUUUUUUCAAAUUAGCUAAAUAUUUUUGGCAUUAUUAUUUUAGAAAAGCUUCUAUGUAUAUAAUGUGACAAAGGAUUAGAAGAGGGUACGUAGAUAUGAUGUUAUUCCUAGGUAAUACACUAAUUACCUUAACUCUUUGAAUGGUUCAUAAGGCGGAAACAUUUUGAUAAUUAAUAUAAAGGGUACAACUCGAUCUUUCUUUCUUUUUUUUUCUUUUUUUUCUUUUUUUUUUUUUGAGAAAAGGUAGUGAAGCUACCUGCUUCAUUCAUUAGGCUAAAUAAACUAAGCAUAUAUGAUUGAGGCAACUAAGGCCUCCGGAAGGGUCUUGAAGAAAAACAAAAUAAAUGGAAAAAAAAGGAAAAAAAAGAAAAAAGACAAAAAAGUAGACAACAGUGAAUAAACCUUACUAAAAACGGUCGUCCCAAUAAGGUACCAAAACAGGGUGCGCGGUCGAGUCAAAGUGCGUCAGCCCAGUCUUUGAUCAAGUAAGUGACACGUUCGAUGGCCCGGGCAGCGUUAGAACGUGUAUCGCGAAAAAUAAUAUUAUUACGUUCCGUCCAUACCACCAACCAGAUUGCCUCUAGAUGAGCCCGGCUUUGACUCGAUCAUUACUAGGCUUUGACUCGAUCAUUACUCCGGUACAUUCUAGUUUUGUAUACUCCAGCUCCGAGGAGAACACAACGCUCGUUUCCGAGAUGCAGAACAAAUUAAACAGAUGCUGUAGCAUCAUGUCACGUUUCAAAUUGUUUCGUGACCACCUCAAUAUAUGUUCACUUUUUUGUACACAUGGUUACUGCAGAUUGAACCAGCACGUGACCGAUACGUACGUUUAGUCCCCAUUAAGAUUGGAAUUAUUGGCACAUGCACGUGUUAGGUGUACGUAGCUCGAUCGGAAUAUAGAACAAUAAUACAUAAUUAGUAUGGCACUAUUAGGUAAUAAAUAACAUGAAGUAACGACGAAAGCAAGCUUAUAUGGAUAUGUUUCAGCACUUUUCAAAUGGGAUGGCAAAUUAUGAUGUACGAAAUAUAUUAUUACAUACAAAAAUAAAUAAAAUAUUUAUUUAUCAUAUUUUUUCUUUACAGGUGGCACAAUCUUUCAAUAAUUUCAAACAAAGCGUUAGUGUAUUAGAAUUUUAAUUCUUGAAUGAGAAAUUGUUGGAUUAAAAUGAUAUUAGUAUCUUAGAGUUGAGUGAUUCCUCUAAAGUUGAGUGGUUCCUACUGAAUUAUAAUAUUUAAUUCAAUAAUUUAAAAUAAUAAAAAGAAUUGAUCCAAAAAACCUAUAGCAAAAAUGGCCUUUUGGUAUCAAUAGUAUUCUAUCCCAUCUCUCUCUCUCUCUCUCUCUCUCUUUCUCUCUCUCUCUCUAUAUAUAUAUAUAUAUAUAUAUAUGAAUCAGGCUGGGAUACUAUCAAUAGGACCAAGCGUUUAGUGCUAUCAAGUUUUUCACUGUUAGAUUUAACUCUUUGACUAUUUUUAUCUGUUAGAUUAUACUAUUAAACCGAUAACUUAUUCAACCCUAGGAGGCCCACAUUAUUUUAACCGUAUAUUUUUUCAUCCAAGGACCGAAAAUCUAAUAGCACCAAUAGUUUGGUGCUAUUGAUAAUAUUCCAGCCUAGUUCUAUAUGCACACACAGGUCUUGUGUGCUAUUAGGAGCACAGAAGUCUUCGUGCUCCUAAGUCAUUUUUUAUGAUGAAGUUUUUGAAUCGACGAUCGAUUCCAUUAGACUUGAUUUAUCUAUUUAAAAUAUUUAGAAAAUAAAUUUUAAAGAAAGCGCUAGUGGAUUAGCAUUUAGCGAGUUAGAUUUCAAUUUCUUACCUCACAUGUAGUGUGUGGGCUUAGAUUUCAACUUCUUACCUCACAUCUAGUGUGUGGGCAUGUACGUAAUUGCACCGCACAGAGCAAUAUAGAUGCACAAUUCUAUUAACUGCUACAGGCUUUACAUACCAUUACUUGAUGAUCUUAUUCGGAUAAAAAUUUGCUAGGCAUCAUCCCCAAAUUAUAAGUUGGGGGACGAUGCGGAUGUGUGCCGCAUCGCCCUUCCGACACGCGCCCAUGGAAGGAAAAAAAAAAAAUGGCGCCCUGUGUUUAUAUAGAGAGAGAGAGUGAGAGAGAGAGAGAGAGCAGAGGGAGGGAGGAGAGUGAUCGUCGGAUGGGUCAGGCGGCGCCCAUCUGUAUCAUCUAGUUUGGAGACCAUGCCCAGCAACUUUUUGUCCAACUUACUCAUCAAAACAGCAUAAACUUACAAAAUUAAAUACAAACAGUUGGCUACUAAAUAUAUAUUAGGCAGCCAGUGGAACUGAUAAUAAUGCAACAAAAAUACAAAUGAAAACAGCAAGCCCUACUCGAUCAUACAGAUAAUCUUCGCACGAGCAUCGCCCGAUUUAUUACAUAGCUUAUAAGGUACGUAGCACACAGGGCACUUCAUUGCAUGCUAAAUCGCAGCUUCGAUAACCCUUACAUGGAGCUGACACGAUCAUCCGAACCCAUGUCAGAGGGUUCUGUAAUGCGCGGUGACGAAACAAGAGUCGGGUAAAUACCAUAGCUAGCCAGACCACAUAAUCCAGGAUAUGCCGUGUCUCUUAACAUCCUCACGUAUCCAUUUUCUCCCCACCUGUUGCCCCAUGAAUUCUUUAUUAUCCAAUACUUGUCUCCGGUGCUGCUGUCCUGCCCGUAACCUACGACGGUAACGGCAUGGAAAAUAUUUGUCCCACAAGGUCCUUUAAAGAUACCGCCAUUGUAGUAAUUGAAGUAAUAAGAGCUAGCAUCAAUAGCAAUAACUGUCGGCUGGUUCGCCACAGCAUACAUGAUCGCGCGUUCAUCGUAGCUAGGUUGUACAUAUUGAUAGCCGGUAAUAUAAGCUGCAUUCGGUUUGUUAUUUCUGCAAGUGCCUUUGUAUCCUACAUAGGGAUAGUUCGCCUCCGUCGUCACGCCCUUGUUAGCGAUGAUAAAUUCGUAGGCUUUGUGUACCCAACCAGAUGUGCACGCGUUGCUAACAGUACAAUCUAAAACUUCUUGCUCCGAUAGAGAUAUUAGUUGCCCUGUUUUAAUCUUGUAGAUGCCUUCUACCGUCGCGAUUGAAGAGAAUGCCCAGCAAGAACCUAUUUCAAAACAUAUAUUCAAGUUAGCACAACUCGUACAAGCAAAAGUUACGUAGAUUGUUAAUUAAGAUGUAAGAAGAACAUUCAAACAAGUAUGGACAAGGUCAAACAGAUGAUUACUGUGUUACUUUAUGCUUACUUGAGUGAAAAUGAUUAAUGUUGUCAUACUUCUUGUCGGAAAUUAAUUUUUCUAAAAACUUAAUUAAACUACUGAAGAACGAUUUCUAAUUAUUAAGAAUUAAUACUUCUUAUUAUGUCUAAUCUACAAAUGUACAUAUAGUAGGUGAUAACAUGUGUUCGUACACUUUUAGCUAGUCUGAGACAUGAACUUUGCAUUCAAAUGCGGUGGAGGUUUGGUUCUUUUGUCCACAUAAAUGGCUAAUGGAAUGGUGAGAUUUGGGCCCAAGGCAUCCUAUUCUCAUGAGGUUAAUUAAAAAAAUAACAUUUAUUAAGGUUCAGGCUGCUAUAGCUAGAAAUUAAUGCGCUUUAGUUCUCUAAACUCUACACUUGGUUCUUACCGCAAGUUCCUUGAUUCUUGACUGGUGUUACGGCACCGUAAUCCCUCCAAUCAAUGCUUUGAGGUAUCGCGGACAUGUUUACAUCCUCAAACGACACCGAUGGCUCUAAAUUUGUCAUAUUUAGAGGGAGAGAUAGACCGACAUGCUGAGCCACGAUUUCAUCAUUUGUCAUGUCAGCGAAUUGAUUAAUGCCCAGAGUAUACGAGUUGCCGCCGCGCCUGUUGAAGGCUUCAAUGCGGUUCACAUUGUCCUUAAAGAUCUCAAAACGGCGCAUCUUCUCAGCAUCGUCACUGUAAACUCGGCCGAAAUCGGCCAUCCAUUCAUCAAACCUCUUCAUCAUCGAAUCAUCUGCUUCACCGCGAGAAGCCAACGGCGAAGCCCACAGCACAGAAAGAAACAGAAAGAGAAACAAUACUUGGAAUCUGGAAGCCAUAGCUCUGACUUACAAAUGCUUUUUUUGCUGAGAGUAAGGCUCUCCUCAUCGAGUUUAUAUAGUAGUUCUCGGCCUAUGUACGUACUAAAGUUGCUGGACCAUUAUUGGACGAGAGGUCCAUUAUUGGGGGCUAUUAUACGAGAUCAUUAUUGGCGGCAAUAAUAGCUUCAUUUGGUUUGAGAACAAUUUUUGAGUAAUAAUUUUUUAUCGUUCCAGUAACAAAUGGUAUUCCGGAAUUACAUUUCGAUACUGUUUAUUUUGUUGAGCUGGAAUACUCUAUAUUAAUAGUAUUUAAAUUUUUUCGCUAUUAUUUUUUUAACCGUAAGAUCUAUAUUUUAAUUAAUUCCACCAUUUAAAUUAUACUAUUCAAAUAGCUACCCAUUCAAUGCUAAGAAGGACCACGAUCAUUCUAAUUCUAUAACUUUUCAUCAAAAAAUUAGAUAAUCGAUAGUAAAAUAGUCAAAUACUAAUAAUAAUAUUUCAGCUCAAUUCUUAUUUAUUUGUUCUGAAAUGAUAUUAUUUUUUUUUUUUUAGUGAGAAAGGUAGCACGAUACCCGCUUCAUUCAACAGAACGAUGAAUUAGGCUACAAGAGUGGGGCAGCCAAGCCCCGGGCGAAGGCGCAAACAAAAAAUAAAAAAAAAAAAAACAACAACAACGCACGCACACACUUAGGAGAGAGGAAAGAAUCCCACUCCGACACUAAUAGCUUGAGCCUCUGGACAGCUAACCCCGGAUUUGGUUGGCAAUUCCUGAAUAUCCAAUUGUUCCUCACCUUUCAAAUAGUCCACCAGCAGCCUGCCAGAUCAGUAAGUCUGGUUCUCUUCUUGUGCUGAUCCUUUCUAUCCGACCACUUUUCCCAGACGAGUUCCACGUCGUCCCCCAGGUCCUGGGCCUAGAUAUCGUCCACCUCUGAAACUAUGAUGAACUUGGUAAAUAUGCACCUACUGAACAAGUGAUCCACGGUUUCCACUUCCGCCCCACAAAGUACACAGGUAGGGUCGUCCGCCAGCCCUCUCAAAACUAGUUUAUCACGAGUAAGAUUCCUUUUCUUGAGUACCAACCAACAAAAUACUUUGUUUUUCAAAAGGAUUUUCAGGUUCCAGAUCCUGGAUACGCGUACAUCUCUCACACUCUCAAAAACACCAUGAGGUUAGUGCUUUUGAUAUUAUUAGUAUGUGGAUAUUUUAUGUUUGAAUAAGGUAUUGAAAUGAUUAAAAAUGUAUGAAAUAUCAGUUUUGCCCUUAUAUAUAUAUAAUAAUCAAAAUAAGAGUUGAGCUAGAAUACUCUCAAAAGCACCAUGAGGUUAGUGCUUUUGAGUUUUUAACUCUUGGAUGAAAAAAUGUAAGAUUGGGAUGAUGGUAGUAGGUGGUGGUAGGUGGAAUAGUGUUUGAUCUAAGGGCUAUUAGUAAUCAAUGAAUAGACUUAAGGGCUAGAAACCUAAAAGCAUCAAGGGGGUGAUACUUCUAAAAGUAUUCUAGCUCAAUUCAUGAAAAUAAACAUAAAUUAUUAAAAAGCUAAAAAUAUUAUAUUUGUCUCGAUUAUCAAAUUAAAUAUUAAUUUUUUUUAGAGAGAUAGAUAGCACGCUACCCGCUUCGUUUAUUUCCUCUAUAAAUAAACUUAGCUAGAAAUAUAAAUCAACUAGGAUUCGAACUUGGAUCUCGGAUACCAACCACCAAGCCCUUUGCCACUUGUUCUAGGGACGAUCAAUAUCUUUUAAAUGUGAAUCAAAUUUUAAAUAUUAAUUAAUUAUAAUUUAGAAAUAAACUUAGCUAGAAAUAUGAAUCAAAUUAAAUAUUAAUUAAUUACAAUUUAGGUACUUUUUUUUCUCCCUAAAGAAAAACUAGAAGCAAAUUAUUAGCAAAGAAAACACCAUUUUUUGAAUAGAAAAUAAAAAUAAUUCCCACAAUAAAUAAAAAUUAAUUCUCAACCAAAAAAUAAAUUGAUUAAUUUGGAAGAACGAGCUCGGCGACGGAGGCGUUGUUCUCAAAAGUUAGAUCUCCCUGGUGGGAGAACCAAGCUUAACGAGUUAUUAAGAUAUAAUUCGUAAAGUCCUCUACAAGAUCAGCUUUCAAUUCUCUCUUUUUUUUUUUCUUUUUUUUUUCUUUUUUCCUAUAAGUUUAAGAAUAUCUUCCUCGUUCCGGAAAUAUUCCCGAAACAAACUCUUAGUCUCUCUAUUUCAUCAUGAUGCCAUAUGAAUGCAAUGUAUAACCCCGAACCAAACACGGGCUAAAUUUACUACCAUAUAUGUGUUUAGUUCUAUCUUUUAUUUAAAGAUUAUAAUUUUUUUCUUUCUGUAGUUAAAACAAAUUUUACAUGUCUCAUGAUUUCCUACAAGUUGUAAAGGGCUAAGUGGUUGGUACCCGAGGUUCCAAAUUUGAGUCCUAAUUAAUUCACAUUUUAAGUUAAGUUUAUUUCUAAAUAAAAUAAACGAAGCGGGUACUACUUAUCUCUAUAAAAAAAAACUAUUUUGUCGAAAUAUAUUAUAAAGUCACCUGUUAAUGCAGCUAAAAAUAUUCCCAACAUUCAAUGGAUGAUAUAUAGGUAUAGCGUUGUUAAAAGGAGCUUUUUAUCUGAUAAAUGAUCGAGUUGAAUAUAUUUGCUCAUCAAAUUUUAAUAGACGCAAGGCAUAGUCUAUAAAUGUAUAGCCUAUAAAUGUAGUUUAGUAAAAGUAAAAUUACUUUUGUCCAAAUAAAUAGAUGGAACUAUAAGAUUUGAUUUUUUUUUUUUUUUUCUUACUGGGUUCGUUCUAUUUAUGGCCGCAUAGGACCGUACCACGAUAUUCUUGUUGGUUAUUCAGAUCCAACAUUAUUUGUUGUAUAUAUUUAAUAAUUGGAUAAAUUACACUACUGGUCUCUAAGAGGUAGUGAAUUUGCAACCCACCUUAAUAUCGCUUGUUGUGAAUAGAGUAUUCACUUUUAUAACAAUUGUUAAGAUUUCAUAAUGAGAGCAUUAAAGCGAAUAUUUACUAUAAAUCCAUUUUUUCAGCAAAAACUGAUCUUAGUAGUCCAAGAAAAGAGAGAAAAAAAAUCAAAUAAAAAUAAAAGUGAAAUAAUAUUCACUAACUAAAAGUGUAGAACGCAGGGGAAGUAUUCGUUUAUACCUUUUUGCGGAAGUGAUUCGCGCUACAAUGCGACGAGUCCGGAUUAUAGAGGUUGAUUCAUGUAUCCUUGGAUCGUCCUUACAGGUCUUCUAAUGUUCCAAACUCGCGGUGGAUCGAACUACAAACGAGCACGAUCGCAAAUCCACCGUUUAAGACCCUCUAGAAUAGUUGGUUAAUGGAGAAUGUGGUUUUUAUGUUUUUUUCUACGUUUUUCUCUUAGUUUUCUUAUUCUCUUUCUUAUUCUCUUGUUCUUAUUUUUAAUGUGAGAUCACCCGCAUAUUUAUAAGAGUUUCCAAAAUCCUAAUAGGUGCGUAAGAGAUAAGACCAAAUCGGCUAUUAAUUGAUAUCCUAAUAUGAUUAGAAUUUAUUUUUAAUUAGCUUUUCAAUUUAAAAGCGAGAUUAAUUCUAAUCCAGUUAGACAAUAUAAUAACUGUCGGAUCGAGUCCGAUCAUGGAUGCACCCAAUUCGAUUUAAUCGGAUGCCAACAAAAAAAAUAAUUAUAUCCUACUCUUCUGCGCGGAGUAAUUUCAAUUCGAGCUCUCUUUGCAAAUCUCUCUCACCACUUUCUCGUCCUCUAAUCUAACGGCGUCUCUUCUGUGCACGCGUGUACAAAAUGCACAAACGACUCACAGUAUAACAAAAGCGGCCCGCACACAUUGAUGAACAGAAUUACCAACUGGACCAUACUAGGCCAGACAAAACUGUAGAUUAAUUACUCGGCCUUUUUUUGACACCCCGGGCUGUUUGCUUCCAGGAAAAAAUAUCUAGAAAAAUUUAGAGGAAAGAAGUUUUUACAUGAAAAAUUCUUAUUUAAGUUUUCCGCUCGUUUGUUUUCAAGAUAUAUUAGAAUUUUUUUUUAUUUUUUUCUUAAGUUCAUGAAAAACUAGUAUUUUUAUUUUUUAAAUUUUUUUUAGAAAACGAUAAUACUAGUUNUUUUUUUUUUUUUUUUUUUUUUUUUUUUUUUGUAAAAUCUGGAAUAAUAGAGUUUUCUGAUAAAACUGGUUUCUUUGGGACUGAAUGGAGAAACUAGUAAUGUGUGUUAAUUAGUGACACAUUUAUUUUGUAUUAGUGCUAGAGGCCUGAGCCUAGAGGUGGCCUCACACAGUACUUAUUCAAGUUCCCGCUGUGUCAUCCUGACCCAAAUGUUCCUGAACCAUGGUCCAGCCCCACUAGUUUGGACCGCACGUACAUUAUCAGGCCACGGUCCGAUCCUAUUUGCUUUUACAUUUUUUAAUAUAUUUUUAAACUUUCAUUUUUAAGAUUAUAUUGUUUAAGUUUUUAAUAUAUUGAUAUAGUUAUUCAUUCAAUAAGUAGGGAUUUUAUAACUUUUUAAUAUCACUAGUCAAAAUUUAAAUAGUUUCAAUUAUGUCUGAGAGAUAAAAAAAAUAAUUACAAAUACUAAAAGAAAAUAAAACAAAAUAGAAAUUUACGAUAACAUAGCUAACACCGGCGAAAUUAUGUCGAUUGCUCAGACAUAAUAAAACAUUUUUUUUUAAGAGAUAAGUAGCAUGCUACUCGCUUUAUUUAUUUCAUUUAGAAAUAAAUUUAGCUAGAAAUAUGAAUCAACUAGGAUUCGAACUUAGAUAAUGUAGCUUAUUAUUUGGAGCUGUUUUUUUUCCCCUUGUUUUCACUAGUAUAGCUUGCCUAUAUUAUAGAGGUCACGUUGUUUGUUUGGUUUUUUUUUUUUUUUUGAGAGAGAGAUAUAAGUAGCAUACUAUCCGCUUCAUUUAUUUCAUUUAGAAAAUAAACUUAGCUAGAAAUAUGAAUCAACUAAGAUUCGAACUCGAGACCUCAGAUACCAACUAUUAAGUAUUUUGCCACUUGCGCUAGAAACGGUCGGUAUAGAGGUCACAUUGUUAUCUACUUGGUUUUGGUGAAUAGGGAUGAUUAAGAAUACGAUCAAAUUAACAUCUUGGGCAAAAAUUAAUUAAUCUAAAAUGCUUAAUUAUAUAGUUUAUUGCGCCUAUAUUAAUCUUGACAUUUGUUACAACACCAUUAUCUUUCCAAUCAACGCUCUGAGCUAGGUACCGCGGACAUGUUAACAUCCUCAAAUUAACGUCAUUUAUAGAGUCUGAUCUAAUAUUUCGUGGGAUAUAUAAUUAAACCAGUGUGUUGAGCUACAAACUCAACGUUUGCUUUAUAAGCAAAUUGAUUAAUGCCAAGAGUAUAGGAAUUUCUAGAUAGGCAUCGAUAUGGUCGACAUUGUUCUUAAUUAAAGAUCUAAAACCGGUGCAAUUUUUCAUCUUCGUCAUUGCAAAACUACUCAAUCUGACUCGACCAUCCAUUCUUCGAACUUCCUCGGAAUCAUCGGGUUCGCCAUGGAAGGCUGCCAACGGCGAAGCCCACAUCACACAAACAAACUGGAAAAGAAACAAAGCUAACUUGGAAUAAAUGUGGAAGUCAUAUACAUGGCACUAAUUAAAAAGCAGCUAUAUUUAGAAAGGCAUUUGUUGGUGCGGAACAAGGUCCUACCAUCGAGUUUAAGUAUCGUUGACUGAUUCAAAUUAAAUAAAUUGAAAGAUUGAAUAGUAAAUUAGAAUUUUGAAAGAUUAGAUAGCUGAUUCAAGGUGAUCAAUAAUUCAGAGAUAAGCUGCAUACUUUUUUACCGACAAAGAAAUAAAUCCUAACCCUAAAUGCGCGCGCACGUGCACAGUUUUCCUGUAAUAAGCACUAGUUCGUACUCGAUCGGGGUAAUUAAGCAACACACUUUUAAUACUCGAUCAUAUUCUUAUCAAGUCAUAGUAGAAUACACGUACGUCACAACACACGAACGAAUUGAUAUAUAAUAUCAUAAACAUUCAAACAACAUCCAAUACAGAGGACACUCGAUCGUGAGGGCGAGAAUCGCUCAAAUUGGAAGACACGUACGAGGAAUUAACACGAACCAUUUAAGCACGCAGAAUCCAAACAAGUUAACUCAAUCUCCACGCGCACGUCGACGUUAUUUAGUAGCUAUACGAGUUUAUAGUGUCGCGAACGGAUCGAUCGAUCACUUCAUCAAAGCCGAAUUAUAUAUGCAUACAUAGCUAGCUUUGAUCUGAAUUAUAUAGCGCUUAUGCCAUCAGAUCCCACGUCGGCGAGCUCGAGAGGAGUCGAGUUGAUAAUCGGGAUGACCGGCUGCUGGGCAAUACCACAUAAUCCUUCAACUGAAGAGACAUCUCUUUCCAAACGCCCGAACCCAUUUUCGCCCCAGUUUUUUCCCCACGAGUUCUUCAGUAUCCAAUACUUCUCUCCGGUAUUACUGUCCUCGCCAUAACCUAUGAUGGCGACGACAUGGUUGACUGCAGUUCCGCAAGGUCCCUUAAAGAUGCCACCGCCGACGUAAAGCUGGAAGUCCCUGGUGGCUUCGAGAUAGGAAGCUACCGGUUGCUUCGACACGGCAACCUUAAGACUGGUUUCGUUGUUUCUAGGCAGAUGUUGAUAAGCGUCGAUGUAAGCCGCAUUCGGCACGAUGUUGGACUCACAAUUGCGUUGAACUCCUGUAUAGGGAUAGGAAGACUCGGUUGCCACACCUCCAUUCCGUAUGAUGAAUUUGUAGGCUUGGUGCGCCCAGCCUCCACCUAUGCACCCGCUGCCAACGCUGCAAUCCAUAACCUCCUGUUCUGAUAGGGAUAUCAGUGCUCCUUUUUUGAUCUUGUAGAUUCCUUCCACCGUCGCAAUCGCAGCGAACGCCCAGCAAGUUUCUAUUCAAAAUUAAGGUUCACUUUAGCAUUUGCAAGAGAAAUUAAUUAUGUCCGUUAUUAAUUAAUUAAUUAAUUACGACAAAAGAAAGUAUAUACGCCACUUAUUAAGACAUAAUAAUAAUAAUAAUUAUGUAAUAACAUUUAAAUCUAUAUAAGAGAACCGUAUUAUUAUUAUCAUUAAAUUAUUAUUGUUGGGUACAAAUAGCGGUAAUAACUAAUAACUUUUUUUUUGUUAUUAGUACGCAUGCAGCACAAUAAAAUAAUAUGUAUUAUAAUAUAUAAUAUGUUAAAAUAUAAUAUCUUUUAUUAUAUUUAUAUAUUUACAUAGAGCUAGGCACCAAUACUAUCUAUAAUAGCAGGCUCCAGUACUAUAGUCUUGUCUUCAAUCUUACAAUAUUCAAAUUAAUGAUUCAUCCCGUUAAAACCUGGUCCAGCGUAUUUGAAGUUUUUAAAAGUAAAAUUUUAUAUUUUUUCGAUAUAGUUUACUUUAUGAUCAAAUCAUUUGAUAGAAAAUAUUUUAAACUAUCUAUAUCAAUAUCAACAUCCUUAAUCUUGAAUUUAAAAAUUCUAUCCUCAAAUUUUAAAGUUUAUUCAAUUUCAACCGUUCAUUUUGAUAUGCUUUACUUACUAAGUAAACAAUGUCGAAAAAAAUUAAAAUUUUAUUUUUUAGAACUUCAUAAAUUCUAGAUUAUAUAUAACAGUGUGGAUCAUUGAUUUGAACAUUUUAAGAUCGAAAAUAAGAUUAUAAUACUAGAGUAUCGACACUAUAUAUAGUAUAAUAGCCUAAUUCCGUUUAUAUAUAGGUAUUAUUGGGGGACGGUUUAUAAUUAUCAAGUUUCACUAUCUCACAUUCUCAUCCCAUAUCUGAUAUGAUUAUAUGAUAUAAUGCCCGCACACUGUUGGUGGGCUUAAGACAUAAACUUUCAAUUUAAAUGUGAAAAAAUUAUUUAUCUAAGGCAGAUGGAAUGGUAGACCGAGCACAUUUGUUCUAGUGUACGUUAACAUUUAUUGUUUCCGAAAACAAAGAAUAUUUUGGUACAAGAUAAAACAAUUGUAAAUAUGUAUUUGGAUACAUUCGAAGAUAUUUUAGAAGAUAUUCUUCGUAGCGUUUAGAUAAAAAAUCUAGAACAAUAUUUAAAUAUAUUUUUAAAAAUAAAAUAAUUAAUUUAUAUUAGUAUAUUUUAUAUAAAAUUAUUUCAUAUAGUAAUUUAUAAUAUAAUAUUUUAUGUAAUAAUUUAAUUUAAAAUAGCAUAUUUAUGUUAAUAUAUAUAAUAAUUUAUUUUCUAUAAUAAUUUAUUUUAUAUAAUUUAUUUAUAAUAUAUGUAAGGAAUAAAGUAUAAUACUAACAAUAUCCUUAUAAUUUUAAUUAAUAAUAUUAUAAAUUUUAAUACAAAUUAAAAAUAUUUGUAAUAUAUGAAAAAUGAUUUUAUAUAUAAAAUACUUAAUAUUAAAUAAAAUAAUUAAAUAUUAAUAAAUAAAUAAUAAAACUUAAUAAAAUAAAUAAUAUAUCAAAUUUAAUUAAUUUAUAUUAUAUAAUAAAAUUUAAGUAUAAAUAUAUUAUCAUAAAAAUAUUAAUAUAUUUAUNAUAUAUAUAUAUAAAGAGAAGAACAAAGUUGUGUUUAGUUUUCCUUCGAACCAUUUUUAACGGAUUGUUCCAGAAUAACCUGCUUUUAGCGGAACAACCCAUUCUCUUUAGUUCUUCCAUCGGUUGGUUAUAAAUUGGAGGAUAUACCGUCUUGUUCCAGAAUAUCUCCGAUACCAAAUACAGCCUAGAGGAAUAGUAAUGUAUUUCCUAUUCAAACUUUGGUUCCUAGGAGGAGAACUUUGUGGAAAAAAUGGAUUACUAUAAAAGGUACUAUGAAACUUUUUGAAAGAUUCAAGACAUGAAAAUUAAUUUUAAAAAAUGGAAUAAUGAGGUUAGAAGACUAUUGGAAUUUUAACUUAGGGCGUCCUAAACUGCUAAGUAGAUUAAAUUCUGAUGGCAUACCAUGUUAGACCGUCAAUUAAUUGAUUAUUUCUAAUAACUUAGGCUUUUAUUGAUAAUUAGUUGUUUUACAAAAUUAAGCUGAUUUAAUUACUAUAUUAUAGUCAACACUUCUUACCGCAUGUGCCUUGUUGUUUGACUUCUGUCACUGCAUCAUAGUCCCUCCAAUCUAUACUAUCGGGCACUGCGGACAUGUUUACAUCCUCAAAGGACGUCAAGGGCGCCUCUUGCUUCACGUUUAGGGGGAUAGAAGCACUGGUGUACUUACUCAGAAAUUCAUCAAAUGUCAUAUCAGCAAAUUGGUUGGUGCCGAGAGUGUACGAGUUUCCGCUCCGAUUAUUGAAGGUUUCAAUAUAGUUCACGUUAUCCUGAAAUAUCUGAAACCGCCGCCACUUCUCCGCAUCAUCUGCAUAAACACGGCCGAACCGAGCCAUCCAUUCUUCGAACCUCUGCAUCAUGGGAUGACUAGGAGAAGUUGCCCGGGGCGAAGCCCACAUCAGAGAAACAACCAUGUAAAAAAACAAGAGUAGAUAUUUGGAACCCAUGUGUAGCAGUACUAAUAAUAGCAGCUGCACUUGGAAGGGAGACUAUUUAUAUGAUCUAGCUUUCGUUGUGAGGAUGAGCUUCUCGCAUCGAGCUUAUAUAUAUAUAUAUAUAUACACUCAUAUAUAUAGAAGUGCGCGAUUGCUACAUGGAGUAUUAGUGGGAGAUAGAUGUGGACCAUUAUCGAAGGAAAAUAAUUGCCUUUCCUGUUUAAUAAUUAGUUGAGGGAUCCAACACUAGCUUGAUAGGUAAUUAGAAUUAGAUAGGUACAUUAAUUCAUAUCCGUUUUUAUUAACGUAAAGCUAUAUAUAGAUCCAUGGUUCGUACCCUCAAAUCAAUCUUUAAAAAUAAGGAUUGAACCCAGUUCUUAAAUUAUUGUCUAAUUCUAGACUUAUUAGAUAGCAUUCUAUUUUGAAGGAUCAAUUUCUUGUAUACUCCUGUAAGGACUGAGCCCUUGAUGAUUAAUAUCUAAGGUCUCAAAUUCGAACUUUAGUUAUUUUAUAUUUCUAGCAGAGUACAUUUCUAUAAAGCUAAACGAAGCUGAUAACUUGUUACCAUUCACUUUCUCAAAAAAAAAAAAAAAAAAGAAGAGAAAACUAAAAGGUUACUAAUAAGAUAAUAGCAGUAAUAAUAGUACAAGGAAAUGUAUAGAGUUCCUCUUGAUCAAUUAUUAGCUAUGACAAAUGAAUGAUUGGAUCAUUGAGGAAAAAAAAAANAUAUAUAUAUAUAUAUAUAUAUAUAUAUAUAUAUAAUGAAAACUCUAUUCAAACAUAUAUUUUUGGGAUGUAUGAUAUACACCUAUUCUUUCUAAGGUGCUAGUAGAAUCCAUUCCAUCUUUAAAAUGGAUGGGUGUAUAUCAUACAUCCUAAAUAGGGAUGUAUGUUUAGUAUUACUCUUUUGAAAUAUUUCUAGCCCCAUCAAUUGAGUUUACAUAUUUUAACUUUUAAGUUGAGUUAUCAUUUUAGCAAAAUAUUUUAAGAAUUUUCAGAAUUUUUCAAUAUUUCCAUGAAAUUUUAUAAUCUCAAUUACUUUUUAAAAUUAGUAUAAUUAAUUGCUAUAUAUCUGAUAGAGUGCUUUUUUAAAUUAAAUUCAUUUUUUUAGUUAAAUAACUAGGAAUUUUUAAAGUGAAAAUAUAAGAUGGCAAUUUUAAAAUGUCUUAUAUACAUUUGAGGAGGCCUCCGUUCAUCCAUUUAGUGGGUAGGCCUCCGUGCAUUUUUCUCAUUUAAUGAAAAUUUGAACUGAAAUUAUACUUAGAUAUUCUUGCCAUAACAACAUUCUAAAAAAAAAGAAAAUGUAUUUUGAUAUAGUUCCGACACAGACUUUGAAAAAAUAAAAAAAUUGACAAUUUUAUUGGUAGAUGUGAUGCGUUUGUAAAUUUAACGGUAUAAAAUAAUUCAAAUCUGAUGAAAUUUUUAUAGAAAAUUUUUUUCACUAUUUAGAGUAAGAUCAAUACCUCUAAUCUUAAAUUCAAAUCUUUUGUCAUCAUUUUUUAUGAGAUUUUUAUUUUCAAUCAUUAACUUUUAGACUACUCAUUUGAUAGGUAAUGAUGCCAAAAAAUUAUGAAAUUUAGCUUCAAAAUACUUUAAAUAAUGUAGAUCAACUCGAGCAGAGCCGAUCGUUGAUUUGGAAGCCGCACCAUUAAAAAUAACUUGGUAGCACGGAGGUCUCCAUGCUACCGAUAGUAUACCAGCCUUGCUUUCUUUCUCUCUCUAUAUAUAUAUAUAUAGAGAGAGAGAGAGAGUCCAGUUGUGAUACUAUCGAUAGCACCAAGGACUUAGUGCUAUUGAGUUUUCUACCGUUAAAUUUAACCGUUUGGUUAUUUUUACUCAUUAGAUUAUACUAUUCAAUCAACCACCCACUCAACUCUAGGGGACCCACAUCAUCCUAACCGCAUAUUUCUCAAUCCAAUGGCUAAAAAACUAAUAACACCAAUAACUUUGUGCUAUUGAUAGUGUUCCAGCCUAAUUUUAUCAAUAACAUUAAAUUAUUGGUGUUAUUAAAUUUUCAGUUAUUGAAUGAAAAAAAUAUACGGUUAUGAUGAUGCGGGCUCCUCGAGAAUUGAGUGAGUAAUUAGUGAGUUGUUAGUUGAGUUAUUAGUUGAAUCGGUCAAACUGGAAGCCACGAGGAACACGAACCACUUAAGCACGCAGAAUACAUAACGCACACAUCCAAACAAGUUAACUCGAUCUCCACGCACACGUCGACGUUAUUUAGUAGCUGUCGAGUUUAUCGUGUCGCGAGCAGAUCGAUCGAUCACUUCAUAUAUAGCUGAAUUAUACAUCGCUUCGAUCUGAAUUAUACAGCGCUUAUGCCAUCAGAUCCCACGUCGGAGAGUUCGAGAGGAGUCGAGUUGAUAAUCGGGAUGAGCGGCCACUCGGCAAUACCACAUAAUCCUUCAACUGCAGCGACAUCUCUUUCCAAACGCCCGAACCCCUUUUCGCCCCAGUUUUUUCCCCACGAGUUCUUCAGUAUCCAAUAUUUAUCUCCGGUAUUACUGUCCUCGCCAUAACCUAUAAUGGUGACGGCAUGGUUGACUGCAGUUCCGCAGGGUCCCUUAAAGACGCCACCGUUGUAAAGCUGGAAGUCCUUGGUGGCUUCGACAGCGGAGGCUACCGGUUGCUUCGACACGGCAACCUUAAGACUGGCUUCGUUCUUUCUAGGCAGAAACUUGUAAGCGUCGAUUUCAGCUGCAUUCGGCACGAUGUUGGACUCGCAAUUGCCUAGAACUCCUGUAUAGGGAUAGGAAGACUCGGUUGUCACACCUCCAUUCCGUAUGAUGAAUUUGUAGGCUUGGUGCACCCAGCCUCCACCUUUGCACCCGCUGCUAACGCUGCAAUCCAGAACCUCCUGCUCUGAUAGGGAUAUCAGUGCUCCUUUUUUGAUCUUGUAGAUUCCUUCCACCGUCGCAAUCGCAGUGAACGCCCAGCAAGAUUCUAUUCGAAAGAAAAAUUUUACUAUAGCAUUUGCAAGAGAAAUAUAUAUAUAUAUAUGUCCGUUAUUAAUUAAUUAAGGCAAAAGAAAUUAUAUAUGUCAUUUAUUAAGACAUAAUUAUGUAAUAAUAUUUAAAUCUAUAAGAAACCCGUAUUAUUGUUAUCAUUAAAUUAUUAUUGUUGAGUACAAAUCGUACUAAUAAAUAAUAAUUUUUUUUUAUUGUUGUUGUUAUUAGUACUUAGCACAAUAAAAUAAUUUGUAUUAAAAUAUAUAAUAUGUUAAAAUAUAUUAUCUUUUAUUAUAUUUAUACAUUUAUAUAGAGCUAAGCUCCUAUACUAUCUAUAAUACCAGUCUUUGAUACUAUAGUCUUGUUUUCAACUUUAAAAUAUUCGAAUUAAUGAUUCAUGCCGUUAAAAACUGAUUUAGGGUAUUUGAAGUUUUUGAAAUAAAAUUUUAUAUUUUUUCGAUGGAUUGCUUAUGAUCAAAUCAUUUAAAAAUUAUCAAUUUUCAAUGACUAGUAUGGUGAGUUUGUAAUAUAUAUAACGGUAUAAAAAAUUCUAAAUUUAUUCAUAUUUUUAUAAAAAAAAUAUUUUAAACUAUUUAGAUCAAGAUCAACAUACUUAAUCUUGAAUUUAAAAGUUCUAUCCUCAAAUUUUAAAAUUUGUUCAAUUUUAACUGUUCAUUUUAAUAUGAUUUACUUACUAAGUAAAUAAUGUCAAAAAAAGUUAAAAUUUUAUUUUUAAGAAUUUUAUAUAUUCUAAAUCAUAUGUUACGUUGUGGAUUAUUGAUUUGAACAUCUUAAGAUCGAAAAUAAAACUAUAAUACCGGAAGCAUCGAUACUAUAUAUAGUAUAAUAGCCUAAUUUCGUUUAUAUAUAUAUAUAUAUAUAUAUAUACUAUUGGGGACGGUUUAUAAUUAUCACAUUUGACGGUCUCACCCCAUAUCUGAUAUGAAGACACAUGAUAUAUGAUAUAAUGCCCGCACACUGUUGUUGGGCUUAAGACAUAAACUUUCAAUUUAAAUGUGAAAAAAUUAUUUAUCUAAGGCAGAUGGAAUGGUAGGCCGAGCACAUUUUGUUCUUGUGUUAACAAGGGCUGCGUUUGGUUGAAAAACUAAAUUUUGUAAAACAACUUUUGUUAUUCCCGAGAACAAAAAAUAUUUCGGUAAAAGAUAGAAUCAUUGUAAAUUUGUGUUUGGAUACAUUUGGAGAUAUUUUAAAAAAUAUUCUUACUAGCGUUUGAAUAAAAAGUCUAGAAUAAUAUUUAAAUAUAUUUUUAAAAAUAAAAUAAUUAAUUUAUAUUAGUAUAUUUUAUAUAAAACUAUUUCAUAUAUUAAUUUAUAAUAUAAUAUUUUAUGUAAUAAUUUAAUUUAAAAUAGCAUAUUUAUUUUAAUAUAUAUAAUAAUUUAUUUUAUAUAAUUUAUUCAUAAUAUAUGUUAUGAAUAAAGUAUAAUACUAAUAAUAUCCUUAUAAUUUUAAUUACUAAUAUCAUAAAUUUCAAUACAAAUUAAUAAAUAUAUAUCAUGUAUGAAAAAUUGAUUAUAUAUACAAUACUUAAUAUUAAAUAAAAUAACAAAAUAUUAAUAUAUAAACGAUAAAACAAAAUAAAAUAAAUAAUAUAUCAAAUUUAAUUAAUUUAUAUUAUAUAAUAAAAUUUAGGUAUAAAUAUAUCAUCAUAAACAUAAUAUUUAUAUUAAUAUAUUUAUUUAUAUAUCUAUUUAUCUAAUAAAAUAAAAAGAAGAACAAAUUUAUUCUUAGUUUCCCUUCGAACAAUUUUUAACAAGUUGUCCCAGAACAAUCCGUUUUGAUCGGAACAACCCCUUUUUUUCAUCUUUCACCAUUUGGUUACAAAUUAGGAAUAUGCCGUUUUAUUCCAGAAAAUCUCCAGUGCAAACGCAGCCUAGCUAGAGGAAUAGUAAUAAAUUUCCUAUUCAAACUUUGGUUCCUACGAGAGAGAUCUUUGUGAAAAAAAUGGAUUACUAUAAAAGGUACUAAUAAAAUGUUACUUUAAAUACCAUACUUUCUAAACUUUCUUCUAUUUAGGCUCGAAAUUUAUUUGACACAUCCAAGACACAAAAAUUAAUAAAAUGAAAGAGAAUUAAAUGAGGUUAAUUAGAAGCCUACUGGAAUUUUAACUCAGGGCCUCCUAAACUGCUAAUUAAGUAGAUUUAGUACUCAUGGCGUACAUGUUAGACAGUUAAUUAAUUGAUUAUUUCUAAAAACUUAGGCUUUUAUUGAUAAUUAGUUGUUUUACAAAAUUAAGCUGCUUUAAUUAAUAUAUUAUAGUCAACACUGCUUACCGCAUGUGCCUUGUUGUUUGACUUCUGUCACAGCAUCAAAGUCCCUCCAAUCUAUACUGUCGGGCACCGCGGACACGUUUACAUCCUCAAAGGACGUCAAGGGCGCCUCUUGCUUCAAGUCUAGGGGGAUAGAAGCACCGGUGUACUUACCCAGAAAUUCAUCAAAUGUCAUAUCAGCAAAUUGGUUAGUGCCGAGAGUGUACGAGUUUCCGCUUCGAUUAUUGAAGGUUUCGAUAUAGUUCACGUUAUCCUGAAAUAUCUGAAACCGCCGCCACUUCUCAGCAUCAUUUGUAUAAACACGACCGAACCGAGCCAUCCAUUCUUCGAACCUCUGCAUCAUGGGAUGACUAGGAGAAGCUGCCCGGGGCGAAGCCCACAUCAAAGAAACAACCAUGUAAAAGAACAAGAGAAGAUAUUUGGAACCCAUGUGUAGGAGAAGCUGCACUUGGAAUGGAGACUAUAUGAUCUAAUGAGGAUACGCUUCUCGUAUCGAGCUUAUACAUAUAUAUAGAAGUGCGUGAUUGCUACAUGGAGUAUUAAUUAGUGGGAGAUCGAUGCUGUGGAACAUUAUUGAAGGAAAAUAAUCGCCUUUCCUCUCUAAUAAUUAGUUUGAGGGAUCCAACGCUAGCUAGAUAUAGGUAAUUUAGAAUUAGAUAGGUACAUUCAUAUCCUUUUAUUAUCGUAAAAGCUAUAUCUAGAUCGAUGGUUCGUACCCUCAAAUCAAUCUUUAAAAAUAAGGAUUGCACCCAAUUCUUAAAUUAUUGUCUAAUUCUAGACUUAUUAGACAGCAUUAUAUUUUGAAGGAUCAAUUUCUUUAUAUACUCCUGUAAUGACUGAGCCCUUGAUGAUUAAUAUCUAAGAUCUCAAAUUCGAACUUUAGUUAUUUUAUAUUUCUCGCAGAGUUCAUUUCUAUAAAACAAAACGAAACUCAUAGCUUCCGACCCUUCUCUUUCUCAUAAACAAAAAAAAAAAGAAAAACAAAAAAAAAAACCUAAAAUGCUACAGAUAAAUAGUCGCAGUAAUAAUAGUACAAAGAAAUGUGAGAGUCUCUUGAUCAAUUAUGGCUAAUGACAAAUGAAAGAUUGGAUCAUUGAGGGAAAAAAUAUAUUGAAUCCCCUCCAUCAAUUAUAGACCAUUGCUCUUUGAUAAUAUAUAUAUAUAUAUAUAUAUAUAUAUAUAUAUAUAUAUAUAUAUAUAUAUAUAUAUAAUAAAAACUCUAUUCAUACAUUUUUUUUUAGGGUGUAUGAUGUACACCUACCCUUUCUAGGAUGCUAGUAGAAUCCAUCCCAUCUUAGAAUGGGUGGAUGUAUAUCAUACAUCCACACUUAGAAUAGGUGCGUGUAUAUCAUACAUGCUAAAUAGGGAUGUAUAUUUAGUAGGGAAAAUUUCAUAGAUGCCCCUGUAGGAGACCGAAAUUUCAUCAAUAGCCCUCUAAAAUUCAAAAUAUCAUGAAUGCCCUUCUAAAUUUAAAAAAUAUUCAUGAAUACCCCUACAGGUUAUGUACCGUUAGAAUCUAACGGAAUAAGGUGUAAAUACCAUUUCUGCCCUUGCACUGCUCCUUAACUAUAGGGAUAAUAUCACAGAUGCCCUUCUAGAAAUAGUUAAUUUCAUUAAUACCUAUCAAAAAUUGAUAAUAACACGAAUACUCUCCAACAUAUUAAAAAUUAUCACAAAUGCCCUCCACUAGUUAAUAUCCGUUAAAAUCAUUAAAUUUUUAAAAUAUCAUUUUUACCCUUUAUCUCUUAUCAAUAAUAGAAACACUAAUAGGUAUUUCAAGAUAAUUUUUAUAAAUCUAAAUUUGACUAUUUAAUAUAUAAAUAUUAAAUUAAUUUUUAAAUGAUAUAUAAAAAUUGUAUUUUAUAUAUAGUAUGUUUUUAUAUGGUUUUGGUUUUGUUUUUGGCUUCGAGUUUUGGUUCAAAUUCGAUUUGGAUAUAGACCAAAAUCAUAACUAAAUUUAAAUACGAUGAGAGUUCAUUUUUUUGUACUUAUAAUUGAAACUAUCCCGCUCAGCAUCGAUUAAGCUCAUCUCAUUCAAAAUUGAGUUCACAUAAAAUUGUAUACCUAUAUCAUUUCACAUUCCUAAUCAGUAAUAGUAAUUUGAAAUAAAUUAUAGAUUUUAUGUUUUUCCUAUUUAAUCAAAAAUAAAUUACAUAACUAUAUCAAUAUGCAUGCUUUUUUUAUUGAUUUUUUUAAAAAAAGAGAAUUUUGUUCAAAAGCUUAAAUAUAUUAUAUUUCAGUUUUUAAUGCAUUUAAUGCAGAUAAAAUUAUUGAGAAUAAUUUAAGCUUCCAAAAUUAAAGAAAGAUCGAAAAAUCCUCAACAUUUACUUUUAUUUAAUUUUUUAUACAUAGUUAAAAUAAAUGGAGCCACUAGAUUUGGUGAAAUCAUAAAAACCUUGAUAAAAUUUUUAUUUUUCAUACACUAAAAUUAGUUAAUUUUUUAAAAAACCAAAAGUUAAUGGGAUGUUAACUUAAAAAAAUAAAAGUUGAGGGAGCCAUUGAGGGGCUCUCCAUACAUUUUUAUUAAAGAGAUAGGUGAGGGUAAAUAGGUCAUUUUAAAAGUUAACCCAUCUUUAACCAUUAAACAACUAUGGUAAAGGUAAUAUAACUAACUGUAGGGGUAUGGGUGAUACUUUUUUAUAUUUAUAGGGGCAUAUAUGAUAUUUUAAACUUUAUAGUGGCAUCCAUGAUAUUUUCAGCUUUAGGAGGGUUAUCUAUGAAAUUGCCCCUAUUUAGUAUUACUCUUUUGAAAUAUUUCUAGCCCCAUCAAUUGAGUUUACAUACUUUAAUUUUAAGUUGAGUUAUCGUUUUAGUAAAAUAUUAAUUGUAAGAAUUUUCAGAAUUUUUAAAUAGUUCCAUCAAAUUUAUAAUCUCAAUUACUUUUUAAAAUUAGUAUAAUUAAUUGCUACAUAUCUGAUAGAGUGCUUGUUUAAAUUAGAUUCAUUUUUUUACUUAAAUAACUAGGAAUUUUUAAAGUGAAAAAUAUAAGUUGGCAAUUUUAAAAUGUCUUAUAUACAUUUGAGGAGGCCUCCGUUCAUCCAUUUAGUGGGUAGGCCUCCGUGCAUUUUUCUCAUUUAAUGAAAAUUUGAACUGAAAUUAUACUUAGAUAUUCUUGCGAUAACAACAUUCUAAAAAAAAAAUGUAUUUUGAUAUAGAUCUGAUACAGACUUUGGAAAAAAAAAAAAAAAAAAAGGUUCUUUGAUAUACUUAUCAUAUCAAUAUUCCUAAACAAUAAAUAAAUAAAUAAAGAUAUAGGUCCGAUAACAUAUUUGCUUACCUUUUUUUGUUACUGAAAAAUUUUCUGUUGGUCUUUGCAUUCAGAGAAAAAAAUGCUUAGUGUAUGUAUAUAUAUACACUAGAGUUAUUAUGUAUCCAGAAAAAUAAAGAUCUAGAAUUUGGUAAUUUUAAUUUUUUUGCCCUUAGAUCAAGAAUUAUAGAGUUGGGAUUAUAGUGGUCCCACCCUAAGAUUUAAUGGUCUCCUUAGCGGAAUAAUAUUAAUUCAAGAGUUAGAAAUGGUCAAAAUUUUGAUUAAAGAUUAAAAAUUGAAACCACCAAAUUAAUGAGUCCAUUCUCCCAACCCUUUAAAUUGUUAUGAUUGUGUCCUUAACCUCUUACACAAUUUUCAAUUGAGUACUUUCGCUCUCAAUUGUUGCAAUUAGAUCCUUAACUUGUUUCAUUAGUAUAUAUACAUGGUAUGAUUCAUGCAGUCGAAGUACUUGUUAAAAAAUAGGUCUUAUAAACGCUUAAAAUGUAGUGGAGAGGCAGGUUUAAAUUAUAUCUAGAUUUAACAUUUCAUUUAAAAUCAAAUCUGAAACUCAUAAUAGUUCAUAACAUGUCGUCACAAACUUUUAGCAGGUCCAAGACAAGAACUAAGUUAAAAUGGGUGGAAUUUUGAUUCUUUUUCUCCAAAUAACACAACAAUUUUUUGUGUAAAAGCGUCCGCCGCUCCAUAUAUAGCAUAUCUCAUCGGAAAAAAAAAAACAUUUUUAAAUUUCUUUUUUGUAUGCAUAUAUAGUAUAAGAUGAUAAGUAUUUUAAUUUUUGAUGAAUACGUACAAUUUUUUAAAAUAAUAUAAAUAAGUUAUAUAUGGUGAAUAAUUUAUUUUUAAAAAAUAUAUGAACUAUUAAUAAAAUAUAUUAACUUUUAUUCAUUUGAAAAAUAUAAUAAUAUUUUAGCAAAAUUAAUAUUUUAUAUAUAAAAAAAUAUAUUAUAUUAUAUUAAUAAUAUUAUAUUUUAUUAUAAGCGGUGUCUUGCUAUACCGCAUCCGUAUCUUACUUUCCAAAAACUGCUAAGUCAUCGUGUCCGAACUGUGUCGUAUUUCGUAUUUUGUGUCCGUGUUUCGUGUAUGUACCGGUGAUGCCUAACUAGCUAGCUAGCUAGCUAGAGAAAAUUGUCGAGCUUUAAUCAUCUAUAUAUAUAUAUAUAUAUAUAUAUAUAUAUAUAUAUAUAUAUAUAUAUAUAUAUAUAUAUAUAUAUAUAUAUAUAUAUAUAUCACACACGUAGUUCAUCACAGUAGUAAUAAGCAGCACACUUUUAAUUACUACUUGAUAUUCUUACUAGCUAGUCAAAGCAGAAUACACAUCGAUCACAACAUACAUAUACAAAUGGCUUGAUCAUAAUACGAUAAUUAUUCAAACUUGCGAAGGAACGCGACAAGGUGAGGAUCACUUGAUCAAAUUGGUAAUAAACGACGAGGAACUCGAAGCACCUCCUUAAUUAUUUGUUAUAUAUUGGUAGGGAACGAUCGCUUCAUAUAUAUAUAUAGCUAAAUCGCAGCUUCAACCUUAUGCAGAGCUUCUUAGGCUAUCAGAUCCAACAACGGCGCCGGCGAGUUCCGUAGGAGCAGUUGAUGUGAUAGUUGGGUAAACUAGCUGCUUGGUAAGACCGCAUAAUCCAGAUUUGGAAGCGACAUCUUUUUCCAAUCUCAUGAAGCCAUUUUCUCCCCAGUUUGUACCCCAUGAAUUCUUUAUUAUCCAAUACUUAUCUCCAGUACUGUUGUCCGCUCCAUAACCUAUGACAGUGAUGGCAUGGUUAAUCAUAACUCCGCAAGGUCCUUUAUAGAUACCGCCGGUGUAAAGCUGGAAUUUCUUAUCUGCUUCGACGGCCGCGGCAACCGGUUGCUGCGACACGGCGUUCAUAAGUUUACUUUCACUGCGAGGCAGAAACUUGUAACCGGUUAUAGAAGCUGCAUUGGGCACGAUGUUGGAAGCGCAAUUGCCUUGAACUUCUUUGUAGGGAUACGAAGCUUCCGUUGCCACGCCUUUGUUAGAUAUGAUGAAAUCGUAGCCUUUGUGCACCCAGCCUCCGCCUUUGCACCCAUAACUAACGCUGCAAUCCAGAACCUCCUGCUCUGAUAGAGGUAUCAGCGAUCCUUUUUUAAUCUUGUAGAUUCCUUCCACCGUCGCAAUUGCAGUGAAUGCCCAGCAGGAUUCUACUCCGAAAACAAAGAUUCAAUUAAUUGUUUAGCAUUUACAAUAGAAAUUAUGUCCGUUAUUAAGACAUAAUUAUGAAAACAUCCAAACAAUAGGUUUUCUUUUUCUCUUUCUUUUUUUUCCAAGAGAAAGGUAGCAAGUUGCCUCCUUCCUAUAUUUUUUUAAAAUAAAUAAAUUUAGAAAGAAAUUUAAAAUAAUUAAAUUUUGAAUUUGGAAUCUCGAAUAUCAACCGGCAAACUUUUAGCCAACUGCACUAGAUACGAUCGGCAGCAAAACUAAUUAGAAGUUAUUACGAAACCAAAACGUACUGCUUCUAACAAUCUCCUAAGAAGUGAAUUCCCACAGCAGAUAUAUAUCCUCUUGAAAAGAGGAUGGCCAAGUGAUUAACAUUGCGGUUUAUAAUAAAUUAAUUUUACAAUAAUUUAUUUUUAUUAAAUUAUAUUUUAUAUCAAAUUCAAUUAUUAUAUUUUUUUUUCACUAUCCUCUGCUAAUUAAUCAAACACAAUUUUAACUAUUUCUGAGAAUAGCAACAUUACAAACUAAAUAUAAUUUUAUUUUUAUUCUUGAUUAGCUCUUGAAUAGUAAAUUAUUCCAGAGAUAAAAAAAAUUUAUUCUAAUGUUUGUUAUCCUGAAACCAAAUAGGACCUUAUUAGUGCAUUCCAAUAGCAUAGACUACUGUUUUGUAAUUAGGUACACUUCUUUUUUCGGGGCGUGCGCGCUUAUUUUAGGUCUAUUUUUAGGUCAAAAAAUGAACUUCUUAAUGAUAUAUACUUGGUUGUAUUCACCAGUAUCAGCAAACAGUAACUUAUUGCACAGCAAGGCUAACUUCAUUUCAUGUGUUUCAAGUACCUUUUCGAGGAUAUUUAUUCACGUGCUUAUUUAAUUUCAAUGCUAGCUACAGUGAAGGUCCGUACUAUUCAAAACUUUUCUUGGGAAAAGGAACUCUAAAAGGAGACCAUAUAAAUUUGUUUUACUGAUAAUGCAUGAAAUGGUCUCUCUUUUUUUUUUUCCAAAAUAAACACGUCCAAUUAAUUCUUAUCACGUACGCUACUACCCUGUGACACUUCAUUUCGUUCGAGUACAAGCAAGAAUUAUUUAUUUUAGAAAUAGAUACAAAUUUUGAAAUUUACGUUUAGAUAAAAAUUGAGUUGUUCUCGAAAAUAAAAAAAAAAUAACGUUUGAAUAGAUAAGAUACAAUAAAAAAAAUAUUGAAUAGUUAUAAAUAGAAAAUAAUGAUAUUAUUCCUUAUAUUAUAUUUAAAUUAAUAUUUUAUAUUUUAUAUUUAAAUUUUUAAAUUUAAAUAUAUAAUUUUUAAAUUUUUAAAUUUAAAUUUAAAAUUUAAAAUCUCGAAUUCGAGAGUUUGAGCUAGCUAGGAGGGUCUUGUUCUAAUGUUAACUGUUAAAUAUAAAAAUGUUUAAACACCGUUCUCUAACAAUUUAAGCUUUUGAGUACAACGGUUGUUUCACAUGCUAUUAAUUUCCUUCCAUUUAAUUCAAGCCCACGUCAUGGCCGAUUAAAAAGUCUCGAGCCCAGACGUGAGGGGGACUACUAUGCUAUCGAAAGCACGGAGCCUUCCGUGCUUCCAGCUCGUUUUCGAUGUUGCAACUUUCGAAUUGUCGAUCGGCUCCGUUAAACUUGAUCUAGAGUAUUUGGAGUAUCUAGAAAAUAAAUUUUAUUAUUUUUUGAUAUCAUUUGCCUAGUGAUCGAAUGGGCUCAAAAUCAACAAAUUUCAAUGGCCGUAGUGUGCUGUUUGCAAGUUUAACGGUGUAGAAAUAUCUAAAUCACGUGAAAUUUUGAUAGAAAAUUCUUUAUACUAUAUAAAACAAGAUCAAUAUCUUUGAUUUAAAAUUUUAAUGUCAUAUUAUUACAUUUUGUAAGAUUUUUAUUUUCAGCCGUUGAUUUUGAGCCCCUUCGUUCACUAGGCAAAUGAUAUCGUAAAAUCAUAAAAUUUAUUUUCUAGGUACUUCAAAUACUCUAGAUCAAGUUUAACGGAGCCGAUCGACGAUUCGAAAGUCGCAACAUCGAAAACGAGCUAGAAGCACGGAAGGCUCCGUGCUUCCGAUAGCAUAGUAGCCUCACUCUAUAUAUAUAUAUAUAUAUAUAUAUAUAUAUAUAUAUAAAUAAUACGUACUUAACACUUCUUACGGUGUAUGCCUUAUUGUUUGACUUUUAUGAUAACAUUAUAGUCCCUCCAAUCUAUACUUUGAGGCACUGAGGACAUUUUACGUUCUCAAAUUAUGUCAACGGCGCCUCUGACUUCAUAUUUAGAGGGACUGAUUUUAUGUUCAUGGCAUGUCAUGUUAGAAUGUCGCUUAUCUUUAAAAACUUAAACUUACAUGUGAAACUAGCUAGUUGCUUUACAAAAGGACACUGCUUUAAUAUAUAUUACAUUUAACAUUUCUUACCGCAUCACUUAAUGAAUGAAGCAGGUAGCAGCUUGCUACCUAUUUCUUAAAAAAAAAUACUUCUUACCGCAUGUGCCUUGUUGUUUGACUUCAGUGACGGCACCAUGGUCCCUCCAAUCUAUGCUCUUAGGCACCGCGGAUAUAUUUACAUCCUCAAAUGAUGUCAAGGUCAAUGUCUCUGACUUCAUUUUUAGAGGGACAGAUGUACCGGUGUACUUAGCUAGAAAUUCAUCAAAUGUCAUAUCAGCAAAUUGGUUAGUGCCGAGAGUGUACGAGUUCCCGCUUCGAUUAUUGAAGGAUUCGAUAUAGUUCACGUUAUCCUGAAAUAUCUGGAACCGCCGCCACUUCUCCGCAUCGUCUGUAUAAACACGAUGGAACCGAGCCAUCCAUUCUUCGAACCUCCGCAUCAUGGGAUCAUCCGGUAGGCUACGAGAAGCUGCCCGUGGCGAAGCCAACAUUACAGAAACAACCAUGUAAAAUAACACAAGUUGAAAUUUGGAACCCAUAAUAUCACCUACACUUUGGAAUGGUUUAAUUUCGUUUGUGUGGAUGAGCUCCUUGCCAAAUCGAGCUUAUAUAGAAGUUCGUGACUACAACUAGAAGCAUUAGUAGGAGAUAGAUGCUGUGGAAAAUAAUGGAAGAAAAAUAAUCGAAGGGCCUAUUGAAAGCGGCCUUUUGGCCGGUGACAAUUAGUUGAGGAAUCCAAAGCUCGGUAGAUAUUUAACAAUUAGAUACCUGGAUCAAAAUCCUUUGAACAAUUAGAUGUUUACUGCUAUAAGCUAGAACUUAUAGAAACAGCACAACGGUAAAAUUUUCAAUGAGUUGUAUAGAUCAUCUGAAAAAAAAGCUCGAGUAUCUCACAAUAAUGCACUAAUGUUGUUUAAAUUUUUGUAACCGGAGGUUUCAAUUUGGGAGAUCAAUUAUUACUGUGGGCCUACUCAGCCCUAGUAAUUAUAACCUAUAUUUGUUUUACACGUAACUUCUAUUAUACAUUCAAUAAAACGUGUAGGUAAUACCCUGUACAUUCCUUUCACAAAAAAAAAAUCACAAAGCUAUAGAUUAUUUUCAAUUCGAUCACAAAACAAGUAAAGAAAUAUGACAAUAUUUGAAACGAAAUCUUUAUGGCCCAAUGCUUGCUCUUGCAAGUAUGAGUAAAUAGAAAUAGAAUUUGUGGCAAAUAAUUGAUUGUUUUAACUGUGUGCGUGCGUGUGUGUAUAUAUAUUGGAUCCCUUAAUCAAUUCUAUACGUUAAAUUAUGUUAUUCUAUCAACUAUCCACUAAAUCUUAGGAGACUACUAUCAUUUCAAACCUACAAUUUUUUAUCUUAAGGGUUAUAAAGUUAGUGGUAAAAAAGUACAAAUAUUAUUAAUAUUAUUCCAACACAAUUAUAUAAAUGUAUACGCAUAAAUUGCACCUUAAUUUCCAUGAUUAGAUUAAUAAUUAUAUAUUGUGAUGAUGUAAUUAUCGACUUUUACAUUCUUGUUCGAUUUUCUCUUCAAGGUGACCGCAAAGCAUUGCUCUUAUGGCUAGUCCUUAAUUCACAUCAAUCAUUAUAAUCAUCUAGCUUCCAUGAUUCAUAAGUUUUUUCGAUCGACCCGACUUUAAUUUUAUGUGUAAUUUAAAAAUUGUUAGUGUUAUUAAUUUAAAAGAUCAAUUUAAUUAAGAAUCUGCUUAUGAAUAGUCUUAAAAUUGAUAACUAUGCUGUGAUGGAUACAGAUUAUGUUUUUUUGAGAAAAAGAUAGCAUACUAUUAAUUUCGUUUAUUAUGUGGAGCGUAGAGCUUAUAAUAAUUGAACCCAUGCGUUAAUGCGUUGUAUCCAAAGUAGGAGAAGGACUAGGUGANUAUAUAUAUAUAUAUAUAUAUAUAUAUAUAUAUAUAUAUAUAGAGGUUGAGUAGUUGAUAGGCGUUUGUCAAUUGGCAGCUGCAUGUGUACCACAAUCUGACCUAAAAUUGAUUUAGGUACAUAAAUAGCUCCUGUAUUGUAAAAGCUCUAUAUAAGGUAAAUUCACAAAGCCCUCUUUUACAUUACCCCACGUCUCAAUUACCUCUUAGUAAUCGAAUUGUUGGUAUAUAUCUUACUACAGAGAUUGCAAACCCACCAUUCUAAAUCACGAUUUCGAAUUGCUCAUUCUGAUAUCCACCGAUUUCUUAUCAGAAUAGAAAAAAGUUGCAAACUGAUGGAGAAUUGAAAAAAAAAGGGGCAUGCACAUAAUUAGAUUAGAAGAGCAUGAGCGAUUCAACAGGAACGAUUCAACUAAUCCUGUGUAGCUGUGCAACUUUCCACAAUAUAUGCCCCAUUAAUUUUAGGUAAUUUUAAAGGAGGCACAUUAAGGUCGAGGGAACUGGUGUCAAUUGCAAGUACUUGGGGGAUUAUCUGGCUUAAACACAACAGGAGUAUUUUUUAGAAAAUGGAGGUAUUGGUGGGAAUAACCAAGAAUUACUAUUCUCGGAUAAAAAAUUAGUGUUUGGGUAUAAAAGGGGGAUAAGGGCCUAUUCCUAUCACUAUGUAGCCUAAUUUACUAUCUAAUUAAAUGAAGCAGUGGCAUGCUACUAUUUCUCAAAAAAAAAAAAAAAAAAAAAAAAAAAUAAAAAAAAAAAAAAAAAAAAAAAAAAAAAAAGGGUAAUUUUUACUGAAACCAAAUUCACCUUCUGUUUCUCUUUUCUCCUUUUCUUUUUCUUUUCUUUUCUCUCGUGUUUUCUUGUAGACUUCCUUAACUGAUGUCGAAACACUGUAUUUUAUUUUUAAUUAAUUGACGAUUUUUUUUUCCUCUUUCCAAAAGGAAAAAAGAAAAGAAUCUUUAAACUAAGAUGUAUGAAUUUGGUUUCAAGGUAAGGAUGAGGAUUAAAAUUUUCAUUAUUUUACCAAAAAGUCUCCACCAUCCUUAUAUUUUUUGAGCAAGAGAAAUAAAAGAAAGUAAACUUUUCUAUAAGUUUUUUGAGAAAUUAACUCAACUAGAAAUGCGAAACAACUAAUUUUUAAAUUUAGAAUCUUUGGUACCAACCAUUAAUUAGUCUCAGAUAUCAAUUAUUAAAUCUUUAACCAAUUUCACUAGAUACAGUCAGUACGUAGUAGUCUCUAUCUGCUUAUUGAUGUGAUGAGAUAGUGUGUUGGAUUAAUAAAGUAAAUUUUGGACGAACCCUGAAUUUUAGCUUGCGGUCGUAGUUUCUACUUAUAGCCUUCUGUGUGUGCGUGUUAAUGUCUAACGUGAGUUGGACCAGAAAUAGAUAAAAAUUAUAGGACUCAGAAGACAAAACCUUCCACUAGGCUUUUCUAGUAUACCAAAGGAACAAAUUAAACGAUCUUAUAUAGCAAUAUGAAUAAACUUCUCCUAUAUAGAUAUAGUCCAUAUUUUUAUCUGUGUUGGAACCCAAUUAAGUAAUUUACAUUAACCUCAUCCUACAAAAUGAGAUAUAAAUAGUUCACAGUAAGUAAACAGCUCACUUCAACUAAUACUUGAUAUUCAUGUCAAAUUAAGCUGAGUACCCUCGCACAAAGUACAAACAGUGGGAUAAUUAAUAAUACAUAUUCAAACUCGGAAUACGAAGCAAGUAACGAGCGAGGGAGAGAACCAUGCACACAACAGCCCUUUUUGUGACUUAAUUACAAGCUUAUACAGGAGCAAACAAGCACUUAAUUAAUUAGAUAGAGCUAGUUAUGCUGUCCGAUCCCGUGUCAGAGAGUUCGGAAUGAGGCAUUGAUGUGAGAGUUGGGUAGAGGGCGUACCGGGCAAUACCACAUAAUCCAGAAAAUGAUCCGGAUUCUCUUUGCAGCCUUAUGUACCCAGCUUCGCCCCAGUUUUGGCCCCAUGAGUUCUUUAUGAUCCAAAAUUUGUCUCCAGUCGUAUCGUCUUCUCCAUAUCCUAUAAUCGUGAUGGCAUGGUUAAUUUUGGUUCCACAAGGUCCUUUAAAGAUACCACCGCGGUAUAACUGGAAGUUCUUAUCGGCAUCGACUGCAGCAGCAACCGGUUGCUGCGACACAGCAUUCAUAAUGCUUCUUUCAUUUUUAGGAAGAAAUUUAUACCCAGUAAUGUAAGCUUCAUUGGGCACGAUAGUGGCGUCGACGCAAGUGCCUAUAACUCCAUUAUAAGGAUAGGAAGGCUCAGUUGUCACUCCUUUAUUAGCUAUGAUGAAAUCGUAUCCUUUUUCCACAAAGCCACCACGUUUGCACCCGUAGCUGUGACUGCAAUCUAGAAUUUGUUGUUCUGACACAUCUGGCAAUAUUCCUUUCUUGAUUUUGUAGAUCCCUUCCACCGUCGCAGCUGCCACAAACGCCCAACAAGAACCUAUAUAUAUAUAUAUAUAUCAAAAGAGAGAUUCAUAUUAGCUUCUACUGGAGAAAUUUGUGGAUUGCUUAAUACCAGAAAACAUUCGAACAAUUGAGCUUUUAUAUAUAGUUUUUCUAUAUAAAACCUAUAUACAUUUGCUAUGAAAAGAGAAAAUUUUCAAUCACUGGUUGUGACGGAAGGUUAAGCUACUAAAGAAUAGUACUCUCAAUCUCAAAAAAAGUAUUUUUUAACCUUUAUUUUCGACACUUCCCUUAAAUUUAGAUUCAAGACAAUUUGGUAGGCCCAAAAACAUGAAAUUGAAUUAAAUUGGAGAAAAUUAAGGAGUACACUGGGAUUUAAAUUUGCGGUCUUUGAUUGUAAUACCAUAUUAAACAAUCAAUUGUCUCUAAAAGCUUAAAAUUUAAGAUUUAGUAGAUGAUUAAUUGGGUGUUUCACAAAAUUAAAGUGCUUUUACAUAUUAUACUGAACAUUUCUUACUGCAUGUGCCCUGUUGCUUCACUUCUGUGACAGCACGAUCAUCCCUCCAAUCAACACUUUGAGGCGCCGAAGACAGGUUUACAUCCUCAAACGACAUCAAGGGCUCCGACUUCUGAUUUGCAGGGACAGAUAAACCAGUGUAUUGAGCCAAAAAUUCAUCAGUCGUCAUAUCAGCAAACUGGUUAACACCGAGAGUGUACGAGUUUCCGCUGCGGUUAUUGAAGGUUUCAACGUAGUUCACAUUGUCUUGAAAUAUCUGAAACCGGCGCAGCUUCUCGACAUCGUCAUUGUAAACUCGACCGUUCUCGGCCAUCCAUUCUUCAAACCGCUUCAUCAUGGGAUCACUGGGUUGGCCGCGAGAAGCUGCCGAUGGCGAAGCCCACAUCAAACAAACCAUCAGGUGAAAAACCAGUAGGUGAAACUUAAAAGCCAUAGCACUAAAUAGCAGCAAUACUUUGGAAUGGAAACUACAAGAGUUUUCGUUGGUGAGGAUGAGGUCCUCGCAUAGAGUUUUUAUAGAAGUACGUGGCUACUUGUUGGAGCAUUAUGAAUACAGAUCGAUGCUGGGGAAAAUAAUUCGAGGAAAAUAAUCGAAGGGGCUGUAGUUGAGGGAUCCAAAGCUGGGUUGAUCCAAAUCCUUUUAUAAUAUCAUAAUUUUACGUAUAUGCCAUUAUUAGUGCACAACCGACCGAACGGGUUGGUGAGUUACCAAAUUAAAGAAAAGUAGAAUCUGUUCAAAUUAUUUCAGGACCGUUCCCAUUAUUCAGCGUACGUAACUAAUUAUAUAUGUGGUAUGCUCACAAGUGAUUGAAAUUAUUAAGCAAACAAUGUAUUGAGAACCCCUCAUACAUGAAUUAUGAGAUAGUGUGUUGGAUUAAUAAAGUAAAUUUUGGACGAACCCUGAAUUUUAGCUUGCGUACGUAGUUUCUACUUAUAGCCUUCUGUGUGUGUGUGUUAAUAUCUAACGUGAGUUAGACCAGAAAUAGAUAAAAAUUAUAGGACUCAGAAGACAAAACCUUCCACUAGGCUUUUCUAGUAUACCAAAGGAACGAAUUAAAUGAUCUCUUAUAUAGCAACAUAAUUAAACUUCUCCUAAUAGUCCAUAUUUUUAUGGGUAAAAUUAUAUUGUUACCUCCUGAACUUUUAGCAAAGUUUUCACUUUAUCCCUCGAACUUCUAAAAUGGACAUCUAAUACUCUAAAUUCCAAUAUUUUGUUCAUGUUACUCUUUCCGUUAGUUUUUUCAUCAAGCUCCGUUAACCGGAAACUGACGGAAGGGAUAAAACGAAUAAAAUAUUAGAGUUUAGGGUAUUAGAUGUUUAUUUUAGAAGUUUGGAGGGUUAAGUAAAACUCGCCAAAAGUUCAGGAAAUAGCAGUGCAAUUUCACAUAUGAAAAAUUAAGGACCUAUUUAGCUCCUUAAAAAAUAGUAGAAAACUAUUUUUUGCGGAAAAUUUUUUUGUGAAAAAAGAGAAUUUUAAAUUUUUAUUGUUUGCUUCGACAAAAAAAAAAAAAAAAAGUUUUUCAUUCAUGCAUGUUUGGUGACAAGAAACAAAUGACGAGAGAGUGAGUGAGUAAUAGCUUGCCAGCGCGAUGCAGCAUAGCGUACGCAGCAGCCGUAACUUUCACGCGUGAUGGGGCAGUAGUUUGUGGACGCGACAUAGCCAUAAGGCAAUGGUGGCGCGGGCAAGAUGCAGUCGGAUUGGUGGCAACGAUAGCAGCAGAAUGCCGAUGUAGACGGAUAGGGAGAGAGAGAUGGUAGACACCGCCCGUUGCAAUUACGAGAUAAUGGGUAGAAAGUAAAGAAAGAUUCUUUUUUUUUAUAUGAGUGUAGCUAUCAUACAUUUAUGAAUAUAAACUCUUUUAUAUUUAUAAGCUUUUUACCAUUAAAUCUAUUUCUUAAUUAUUUUCACUCGUUAGAUCAUACUAUUUAAUUAAUCACUCAUUCAACUUUAGGAGGCCACCAUCAUUUCUAACCGCACAAUCAUUUAUCAACCGGUAAAAAAUUUAGAAAUACAAAGAAAUCUAUACUUAUAAGAGUAUAAUAGUACUAAUCCUUUAUAUAUAGGGUUAAUUUUAUACAGAUCCCUACAAAUAUAGUGAAUAACAAAUAUAUUCCUACAAAGUUCAAUUUUCAUAUGUUGUCCCUACACCGACCGUCCUUAGAGCAAGUGGCAAAGGGUUUGGUGGUUGGUGCUCGAGACCCAAAUUCGAAUCCUUGAUUCAGAUUUCCAACUAAGUUUAUUUCUAAAUAAAAUAAACGAAGCGGGUAACAUAUGUUGUCCCUACAAAUGUUCUGAUAUUUUCAAAUAUAUUCCUCUGAUUUAUUGCUUUUAGAAAACUGUUUAUAUUUUCAAUUUUGCCAUCACAAAUAUAUCCCUUCAAAAACUAUAACAAAAUAAUAUAAAAGGGUAAAAAUAUUAAAAGCUAGUUAGAGUUAAAUAUUUAAUCUAUGGUUAACUAAAAUUUUCUAACGAAUUCUACUGGUAGGGACAUAUUUAAAAAUAUCAUGAUUUUGUAGGGACAAUAUAUGAAAAUUAAACUUUAUAGAAGUAUAUUUACCAUUCAUUAUGUUUGUAGGAAUCUGUAUGAAAUUAACAAUAUAUAUAUAGGACGGGUUCGGAUUCGGGUCGAGUAUAGUCAAAAUCCAUAUCCGAAUUCAUAUCAAUUUUCCAUCAAGCUUCGUUAAUCGGAAACUGACAGAAAGAAUAAAACGAAUGAAAUAUUAGAGUUUAGAGUGUUAGAUAUAUAUCUAUUUUAGGAGUUUGCAAGGUUAAGUGAAACUUGCCAAAAGUUCAGAAAGUAGCAGUGCAAUUUACCCCGUAGAACUCUUGACUAUAAAUUAUUUUAUUAUAAUAUGUUACUUAUAAAUUGACUAUUAACCCUCAACUUAGUGAUCAUGCUUGAUUUUGAAUUUAUAUAUAUUUUUUAUCCUAAAAUAAAUUAUACCAUAAUUUAUCCUACAUUUUAUUGUAGUAAAAUAAAAACGAAAAAAAUGAAUUAGAGUGGCUUAAAAAUAAGAAAAGUGCGAUACUAAUUACCUACGAUACUCGAACACUCUACUAUCCUUAUUUACUCGCUAAUAUGGUUGAUUUACAAUAGGUGUACUCACUCAGAUAUAGAUAUUUUAAUUCUUAGUUAAUUUUCUAUACUACUCGUUUGUCCUUUUUAUCUUUAGAAGUAUUGUUAUAAAAAAUGCAUUUAUUUUCUGUAAAAUUAUGCAAUGUAACUUUAUUGUAGUCUAAAAUAAAAUUUGUGUACUUCAUUUCAGCCAAUUAAAAAUUUUUAAUAUAAAAAUAUAAAAUAAUAUUUUAUAAUACUUUAGAACAAUGUUUCUAAAGUAUGAUAAAUUAUGAUAUGAUUUAUUUUAGUAUAAAAUAUAUAUAUAUAUAUAUAUAUAUAUAUUCAAAAUCAAGUAUGAUCACUAACUUGAAAUUUAGUAGUAAAUCCAUAAGUAACAUAUUAUAAUAAAAUAAUUUAUAGUUGGGGUAAAUUGCAUUGUUACCUCCUGAAUUUUUGGCGAGUUUCACUUAACCCCCCAAACAUCUAAAAUAGACAUCUAACACCCUAAACUCUAAUAUUUCAUUCGCUUUACCCCUUCUGUCAGUUUCCGGUUAACAGAACUUGACGGAAAACUGACGGAAGUGGUAACAUGAACAAAAUAUUAGAAUUUAGGGUGUUAGAUCUCCAUUUUAGGAGUUCAAAGGGUAAAGUAAAAUUUCGUCAAAAGUUCAGGGGAUAACAAUAUAAUUUACCCAUAUUUUUAUCGUGUUGGAACCCAAUUAAGUAAUUUACAACCUCAUCCUACAAAAUGAGAUAUAAAUAGUUUACAGUAAGUAAACGGCACACUUCAAUUUUUACUUGAUAUUCGUGUCAAAUUAAGCUGAAUACACUCAGACAAAGUACAAACAGUGGGAUAAUUAAUAAUACAUAUUCAAACUUGGAAUACAAAGCAAGUAACGAGCGAGGGAGAGAACCACACAACAGCCCUUUUUGUGACUUAAUUACAACCUUAUACAGGAGCAAACAAGCACUUAAUUGAUUAGAUAGAGCUUGUUAUGCCCUCAGAUCCCGUGUCAGAGAGUUCGGGAUGAGGCAUUGAUGUGAGAGUUGGGUAGAGAGCGUACAAGGCAAUGCCACAUACUCCACUGUAUGAUCCGGUUUCUCUCGCCAGCCUCAUGUACCCAGCUUCGCCCCAGUUUUGGCCCCAUGAAUUCUUUAUAAGCCAGUAUUUUUCUCCCGUAUAAGAGUCUGCUCCGUAUCCUAUAAUUGUGAUGGCAUGGUUAAGUUUAGCUGCACAAGGUCCUCUGUAGAUACCGCCGCGGUACAACUGGAAGUUUUUACCGGCAGCGACUGCAGCGGCUACCGGUUGCUGCGCCACAGCAUACAUGAUGCUGCGCUCGUUCUUAGGAAGAAAUUUAUAACCAGUAAUGUAAGCUUCGUUGGGCACGAUACUGGCGUCGUAGCAUUGGCCUUUAGCUCCAUUGUAAGGAUAGGAUUGCUCGGAUGUCACACCUCUAUUCGCUAUGAUGAAAUCGUAUCCUUUUUCCACCCAGCCACCGAGUUGGCACCCGUAGCUGUAACUGCAAUCUAGAAUUUGUUGUUCUGACACAUCUGGCAUUAUUCCUUUCUUGAUUUUGUAGAUCCCUUCCACCGUCGCAGCUGCGACGAACGCCCAACAAGAACCUAUAUAUAUAUCAAAAGAGAGAUUCAUAUUAGCUUCUACAGGAGAAAUUUGUGGAUUGUAUACAACCAGAAAACAUUCGAAAACAUUCGAACAAUUGAAUGUUUAUAUAUAGAUUUUUCCAGAAAAAAAAAAAAAAAAUCUCAGGCGGUAUUCCAAGCUCUGUGUUUCUUUUAACUUCUUUUCACUAGCUAGCGUGUCAUUCCGCGUCCGAGUCAAGUUCUUAUUUGUUUUACUGAUAGAAGGUUAAACUACUGGAGCACCAUUUUUGACUAAAUAUCAUUUCAUCUCACAUCUUAUUUGAAGAUUUGUAGUAGGUGAUACUCAUGCUGAUGCAUUUUUUAUUGGUUUAGGGCCUGAACUUUGAAUUUUAAAAUAGGGAAAAUAUGGCUAUUUUUAUCAAAAAUAAUUAGUAGAUAAUUAACUGGGUGUUUCACAAAAUUGAAGUGAUUUCAUAUACUAUACUACUGAAAAUUUCUUACUGCAUGUGCCCUGUUGCUUGAUUUCUGUUACAGCACGAUAAUCCCUCCAAUCAAUACUUUGAGGCACUGAAGGCAUGUUUACAUUCUCGAACGGCAUCAACGGCUCCGACGUCCGAUUUGCAGGGACAGAUAAACCAGUGUAUUGAGCCAAAAAUUCGUCGGUCGUCAUAUCAGCAAACUGGUUGACACCGAGAGUGUACGAGUUUCCGCUGCGGUUAUUGAAGGUUUCAACGUAGUUCACAUUGUCUUGAAAUAUCCGAAACCGGUGCAGCUUCUCGACAUCGUCAUUGUAAACUCGACCGUACUCGGCCAUCCAUUCUUCAAACCGCUUCAUCAUGGGAUCACUGGGUUCGCCGCGAGAAGCCGCCAAU